rnacentral:lncRNA from 1 species
AGAAAAGAGAUAAGUUAUAUACUGUUGGUAAUUAGAAACCUGACGUGAAAAUACCCGAAAACAAGAAAGAAAACUGACCUGAACGACUGAUUAUUCUGCUAUAUAUUCCUAGUUGAUUUUCAUUUACAGAAAACAAUAAAGGCUUUUGAGCAAGCACGUGCAAAGCUGUCUCCUGAUAUGAACCUCGUUUUGUAGCUAGGCUUGGUUCCUUGUUUUGCAUGUCAAAGGCUACAUCUGUAAAUUCACGCGACGCCAAAUUAUGGAAAACACCAUCAAAUGAAGUACUAAAUCGGAGCAAUUGGAGCAGAGGAUUUCUGUUCCUACUCACCAUAUAGACCAGUUCUAAUGCAUAUAAUAAAUAUUCCAUGUCGCUCUGCAUCGGUCAAAUCAUCAUCAGUGUGUUCAUAGAGAUACUUCACCAUGUCUCUGUGCCCCAACAAAGCAGCUAAAUGAAGCGGAGUCACUCUUGCAUUAUUUCGAAUUUUGGGCAAGGAUUGAUCCUCGUUAACCAUAAGCUCCGCAAGUGGAACUAUUCCAGAUAUCGCAGCGAAAGAAAGAGCAGUGUUUCCAUCUCUGUUCCUAAGUCGCAGUGCGACUUUCAAGCCUUGAGCUUUUAUCCACUCCACCAAUUUCCCCACCAACUGAACUUGUUUUCCUAAUGCAGCAAUGUGAAGAACAGUUUCCAUUCCUUCUGUUACACUCUGCCGCAACGCCUGUUGAUUUUGUCCUAUAAUUCGACCAACUUCCUCAACGUCACCCUUCAUCGCAGCUUGAUAAAGGGGCACACCGUACGUUAUAUAGCUUAUUCUUCCUUCAUCUGAAUAAUUCAAGAAGCGAUGUUUUAGCAGAAGUCAUGAUCGAUGAACACGUAGAACAGUAGUGGAUGACGCAUGGUUUUGACAAAACGUACCUGUAAACAAAUACUGAUCUGGCACAAGCCCAUCACGUUGAUCUAAAGUUGAAUUUCCAACCUCAACUCCUUUAUCCGCUCCUGGAGAGUUUGAUGGUGAACUAGCAGCAUUUACAUCAAUCUUGACAUCAGAUAUUCUGGCUGCCAUUGAGCAAAUUCUAAUAAAACAAAGCUAAGUUUUCUUCGAAUGUAUGUCUGCUGCUGAAACAAAGACAAUAUUUGUAUAUAUAAAUUUACAAAGUUAGGCUUGCGCCAAAGGAUAUGAUGACGAACAGAAAACUUGUCACCAAGGAAAGCAAGGACAUUCGUGUAGGACUUCCAUGAAGCUUACCAAAGUAUGGACCAAUGCCAAAAGGCAAUAAUGAUUAUAUAUAUAUAAAGUUUCAUCAGUAUCUGAAUAUUUGGUUCAUUGAUUGGUGUAUGAUCUCUUUAUUUAAAGAAUAAAGUUCAAAUUUCUUUUCUCCAAAUAAAAAAAAAUCUCAUCAAAAAGAAAAGUUAGAAAUAAGAAAUGCCUCCACACAAUUAGAUUAGAUAUGCGUUUUGAGUGACCACAAUGGGUGGCUUACACUCUUUGCACAAGCUCCGCACUAUGCAUGUGUCUCGUGAGAAUCUUACCUAUAAACAAUGGAAUAAUUAACAUUCUUAAAAGAAUGUUUUGUUGUUUUAACUUUUCUAUUUUUUAACGUAAUUAAGCAAAUUACUUUGACUUAAUAAAUAUUUUUAAUUUACUGAAAAAGAAAAAGCAAAUGACUUGACUCUUUGGUCACUAACCUUGAAACUUCUGAAAAAAUUUAAAAAAAAAAAGUUUAGAAAAUAUGGUGGUGAUACAAAGCAUCGAUUAUAAUACAUACUACCCGAUGCUUGUCUUGACCCUUGUCUAAUAAUGUCAAGUUGACUAUAUAAUUUGUAAAGUCUUGGUUAUGCUUUUAAAUAUUGCUUACCUUACAUCUGUUAGUACUCACCUUAUUUCCUAUUUCACUUGCUAAUUGUUUCUAUGUAAUUUUAAACUCUAAUAAUUUUUUUUAUUAAAGAAACAAAUAAACAUUAAGUUACAAGGUCAUAUCAUGACAAGUUUAAAUUUUGUUUUUAAUUAAUCGAACAAGUUUUGCAUGUGAGGACAGAUAAGAAUAGCAAAACAACAAAAUUAUUCACAAAAUCAAAGUUGGAUCUAACAGUUCUUUUUCUACAAAAAUAGUAAAAAAUCAAAUAGAUGAAUCAAUAUAAAUUUAAAUUAAAAUCAUACACAAUAAAUUCGUAUAGCAGUACGAGUAUGACCUUUUUCUAUUUCAUUUUCCCCUUUCCUUCCUUUUGAUUAUUGACAGUAAAACUUAGAUAUUUAAGGUAAAAUCCAAAAAAUUUCCCUAAAACACUUCAAAAUGAUACGUUGCCCCUUCUUAUUUUAAAAUAAUAUUUUAGUCGGUUGACUGUUAACACAAUUAGUCAACAGUUAAAAAAAAUUAUUUCCAAUACCAUAUAGAUAUUUUAGGAUCCUAAAUGUCCUCUUGAAAAAAAUCUGUUAAUGUUUUCUUCCGUAACUUAAUAAAAUUUAUUUUGAUAUUUAAUAAAAUUCAAUAUUUGACGAAGAAGAAAAAAACUUAAAACUCUAUAAAAUUCAAAAAAUUUGUAAAUGCGGUAGUUUGUUUCACUUUAAUAUUUAAUAAAAUUCAAAAAAAGAUAUAAAAGAAAAAAAACUUGAAUUCUUUGAUAUAUAAUAAUCAAGUCAAAAAAAUUGUUUGUCAGCCUAAAACCUAAUCUCAAAGAACAAAUUUUAGAUAAAAAAUUUUCAACAAAAUUAAUAAUCACGAAUAAGAAAUUAAUCUCUAAACCCCACAACAUCAAAUUUGAAAUAUUCAUCAUUGAAUAAAAGAGAAUAUGGUUAAAUUAAAAAAAAUAAUAUAAGGAGUACUUAUAUUUUAAAAUAUUUACUGUAAUAUUAAGUUUAAUUGUUUUAACUGUUGACUAAUGAUUUUUUUUUUUUUGGAUUUAAAACAAAACCUGUAUGACCAAUGAGAGAGAGAUGGGGCCCGGGGCAUCCCUUUCUCACAUGGAAAUUAGUUAGUACAAAAUUAUAGUGUAUCUUUUUGGUUUUUUAAUGUCCUAGAGACUGACUUUCCAUGAAAGGUUGACCCACUAUAUAUUAAUUAGUUCAUGUUGCAUUAUUUUCUUUUGGUGUACAUGUUCAUAUGUUUAUUUUGAAUUUGUCAUUUCAUUGGUGCAAGUAAAAAUUGUUUCUAUAUUGUAGGUUUAUCAUCAUGUGUUAGACUUAUUAUUUAAUAUUACCAUUUUGAGUAUAAACCCAAAACUUGGCUUGGCUACAUUCAUUUCAUCGACUCAUGCUUAGGUGAUGAGGAAUUAUUGACUUUAUGUGGUUGGAUGAUAAGCAAUGACAUUAUUAAUAUCAUUAAAAAAAGUCGAAGGAAUAAGAAUUCAGAAGGAAAAAGCUCGGGUGAUGACCCAUAGAUGGAGUAGAUAUCGGUCAAGAAAUAUAGUGCUAUGUUAAGUGUCAUGGUCUUCGCAUGGACGUGAAUCUCACAUCAUUGAAAUAAUGCUUCCAACAGGUUGAGCUAUAAAGUUUUACAUCGAAGAAAAAUUCCCAACGGGGAAUAAGAAAAAAUGUCAUGGUCUUAGAAAGUAGAGCUAUAAAUCUCACAUCUACUAUGUAUUAGAGUGAUAUUGAAAAUAUAAAGAUUUACACUACUUUUAGUCUGUGAGGUGCCUUUUGUGGGACAAACUAUAAGAUCAGUAGGCCAAAACAAAUAAUACUUCAUAGAGUUUGGUGUGGACCGUGACACCAAGGGUCAUAUGGACUUCAUACGACAAUAAACAUAGUCAUACAAUGGAAAUUGAGUCCAUAUCAAUCAAAGAAUAUGGUGCAAUGCCAAGGGUUGUACGGACUACAUACAACAACAAACAUAGUCAUACAAUGGAAAUUGAUGUAGGUAGUAACUUGGUGUCCAUGCAAUUGGUGUAAUAUCUUCUAUUAUUCUUCUUCUUCGACCUUUUCUUUCACUUCCUCCAUACUUUCUAUAGUCGCAUGGCCAUUCUUCCUCAAACAACGGGUCAGCUUGGUUGCAUCGAUUCCAUCUCCAAUUACCACAACUUUAUCCCUUGCAUCUCCUUCCAAAGCCACUGAUGACACACCUAUCAUUAUUUUUAAGAAGAGUAAAAUCAAAAUAAUGUUAGAUCAUUCUGCUCUAUGCAUGUAAGGUUUAAAUUUGAUGAUCAGAAGCAAAUAAUUAUUAAGCACCAUGAGUCUCAGCUACUUUCUUCAAUGCUUUGGUUUGGAACCCCUCUCCCUCAUCAGACUUCCUCAAAAUGUACCCAAAGAACCCUUUGGAGCGGCCCGUCUGUUUGUAUCUUAAUGACUAUCUUUUUCUGCAGGGAUAAACCAAACCAAGUAUCAAGUCAGAAUUAGUGAUCACAACCAAUUAUUCAAAAUUACGGUACACACACGUAUCUAUCUAUCUAUAUAUAUAUUAAGAGCGAAAGUUUGAAGCUAAAUCAGAGUUGACAUCAUUUUGUGAAAGUUUGACAUAAAAUAUGACCCUUCUUAUUCGAAAACAAAUUGCAAUCGACAGAAAACUCUAUAUAUAGAGAUAUGCUAGUUUUGGAAAUAAAUGGACGUACCUUCAUGUUGAAGGGUGUAAGAGGAAAAGGAAACUAGCCUUUUUAAGAGAGUGAUUAAUAUAAUGCAAUGAUGAUGAUCAAGGAAUGAGAAAUUAGACCAGUUUUUAUAGCAUUGUCAUCGUACCUAACGCUGCAGAAAUUGUGAACCUUAUGACACAGUCAACAGGUCUGAAUCAGUAAACGACUAAGAGAUACAACACAGGAUCACUUUCCAAGCAAAGUCAUUCGAUAUUUUACUUUGUUAGACCAACAACAAAUUUGUACAAUAUGACUUAUUUUCGUUUCAUUAAUUAUAAAAAAAAAAAUUUAGUUAGUUGUUACCAACUUCUGGUUUAAACUUUUCCAAUCAGUCCAAUACAUGUUCCUGUCCCACAAUACUUGUCGUUUCUUUCUUCUGGAACAAUAUCCCAUUAUUAAUUAUUUGAAAUUGAUCAAAAAAAUCAAUUUAGUAAACUGAAUCGAGCAAGUGUUACCAAUAAAUUAAAGGAAGGCUCACGUAUAUCUAAUAUUGGAUAAGCAUUAAUUAAUGAAUCAAAUUGUAAUUCAUACGUGAGCCUACCUUGGUAAAUCAAUUCUCAAGUGUUAAUUAAUGAAAUAGCAAAGUUUACAUAAAAAAAAAUCAUCAGAUUAAUAAUCACAAUAGUUAUUGGUAUGAUGGCUGCUAGUCUGCUAACUAAGAAUCAGCCAUGGAUUCAUAUUUAGGAUUUGCCAGAUUGUUUCCAAAGUUCCCAACGUUCAAAAGAAAAAGGAAUUCUCAGGUGGAAGACCGUACACGAUUGUUUAUAGUAGUUAAUUUGUUAUGAUGUACACUAUCAACUAUGUAAUCAAGGAAGGAGCAAUUCCUCAUUAAAAUAUUGAACAGAUAUGUGGGCCCAAUGUAAGGAAGAAAACACUUGUAAUUAGGAAAACAAAAUGAUUAUUAAUGAAUGAUAAAAACAGCAAAAGUACAUCAAAUUAAAAGCAUCCAAUGAUGUCCUAUCUCAGAAUCAUCGUUUGACUCAGGCUUAGAAUUUAUCUGGUUGUUGUUGAAGGUAAAUAGAUGGUACACGGGCAGAAUCAGGCAAUCUACUAGGUAAUGGUGAAAUGGUUUCUCAAGCCUCUGCGGGUCGUCCACAUAUCCAUAGCCGGUCUGAAUUAAGGUGAGAUAAAGGACUAUGAUAGCUCCAAAAGUUGAGAUCCCAACCACCCAGCUGCUGAAGUAAUGGUGCACCAGCCUUGCUCUAAUCCUAGCAUAAACGGUAUCAUAGUAAGAAUUAACAUCAGACACCACUUCGUGUAAGUAGGACUCCCAUGCAUCCCUUGCAAUUUCCUUGCAGAGGCCAUUGACGAGUCUUGCCACUUCUUUGUUGUUACCUAAAGAAUGGUGGAGAACCCCUUUGUGAUGAAGAAGUUCCACAUCAUGAGCUGAGUUAAUUAGCCCGUCGAAGAAGAACAAGUACGAUGUGACAUCUGGUUUGCACUGUGGAUGGCAUUGUUCAUAGGCUACCAGGUUACGAAAUAGUGUUCCCUUGUAAUCAUCGAUAUACAGAGGAGGGAUUUUCAGCAACCUUCCUUCAGACCGAACAUCCAGUGGAGGACAAUUAACACCUUUCUCAAUGAUGACACCAGCUUCCAUCAGCUCCGUCAUGGACCGCAUCAUGUCAGUUUCCGCCCCACUAAUUCCCUCUUCUGCUGUAUUCAUUAUUGUGUUGCUCGAGUCGCGUGUCUUGCUAGUUUUAAUUCCUUCUUCUGCUGUAUUCUCUGCUGCUUUGCGGUAAUCAAUUGUCUUGCCAGUUUCCUCUCCAUUAAUUCCUUCUUCUGUUGUACUCUUUGCUGCUUUGCCGGUUUCCUCUGCCUCUGAUAAGUAUCUUGGGAGGAUGCUGAGCCUGAAAAGGUCAAGAAAGUGGUGCGUUUCCGCACGUGAGCUGAUUCUCACAUCCCAGUCUGACUCCCUUUGUAAUAGAGGAUUAAAAAAACGAAGGGCAAGCUCUCCCAAAGAUGUGGUUGACUCUCCUGAUCUUCUGGUUAAAUCAAACAAUGUCUGCAGAACAAAUAGAGGAAGUUGGUUUUCAAGCAUGAUCAAAUCUCGGCGAAGAGUAGGCAGCAUCCAUCUUUUAACAGGGCGAGCAUGACGGAAGUUGUUCUGCUUCAACUCUCUGAAGAGCUCGACAAUGAAGCAGCCAUCAACGAGCAUCAUCUUAACAAAUUUAUCCUUGCUAUGUUGUUCAGCUUUAUCCCAGUAGCACCCACGAGCAACCUGUUCCAAUUCUUGCACCGAGUUCAUCACUUUGUCUAGUUCAACCCCAUUAGGCCGUUUUGGACGAAAGAGGCGGUGAAAGAAUUCCCAUUUCAGCUCUUCCAUUUCUCGUAAUCUUCCCUCUCCAUGAUGGUACGGACCGAUUGAGAUGAUACUGGGAGCAUAAGCUUCGGGUUGAACCUCACGCAUAUUUACAGGGACCCUGUAUAUGCAGGCGGUUUUUCUCUCUUCGGGAACUUUAAUUGCCAACUCCUUUUUCAACAAAGCUCUCCACUUAGAAACUUCAUGGGGAUCCCCUGGAUUCAAAUGCUCUGGACCCCAACUUUUGGCAUUGCCAUGAAAUGUUCUGCUCGUCUUCUGCAAAAGCAACCUUGUAAGCAAGCUGUGUCUCAUUUGGGGAUGAAGAAGGAGUAAACCAGGCACAACCCAAGGAUCAGGCUGCAACUGAAGAUGGAAAAUUAUCAUCCAUGGAAAAGCUCGAAGUCAAAUGCUGAAGUCUUUUUAUUAAUAUUAGGAAGCACAAGGUCAAUGCUUGGAGUCUUUUAUAAGCAAAAGAAUUUCCUCGAAGAUGAUGAAUGAUUGUUGUAGGUGAUUGGUUGUUGGUCCAACUCUUAAAUCUUUUCUGAUAGAAAAAAUUGAUAGUUUCUCCAACAACUAGGAUGAGUUCAUACGAUGAUUCCUUUCUGCUGGUCAUGUGUGUGAGCUUUGUUCAGAUAAUAUAAAAUCUCAUUACCCAACAAGUUGAUCAAUUAAUUUAUUGAGUUAGGUGCAUAUAGUCUCCAAGUUCCCACAUUAAGAUUCAACAGGUCUCCAUUGAAUAUAAUAUCUUAUUUCUUUGAGAAAUGAUUAAGAAAUAGUAGUACUAGUGCUUACUUUAUUUUGUUUUACGUGAAUUUUUUUUCCAAAAAGCAAAUGAAGAGAGCAUGCAUGCCAUGCCCGCGUGUUUAAGCAACAAAGUUACCUUGAAACAUGGGAUUUGGUUCAUUAAAUGAUAAAUUCUUGUAAUCAGGAUUGCUUCCCUCUCCCAAAGGCACUUCUUCUUAAGUUGGGCCUUUAGUAGAUUAGGCUUGUACUAGAUAGGGCCUCUUCUUCCUUAAAUCAUUGUUGCUUAUCCCUAUCCCCAUUGGGUUUGGACCAAAAUCUUCUUUUAGUUUUUAGCUUUGUGCUAUAAAUUGGAGACAUAUUUCAUGGCAUAAUUCAUCAGUCAAAUGAUACAAAAAGGAGGCUUGAUAUUAGAUUAAUAAGUAGAUAAACAUAGUAAGUCCCUCAAAUUUGCAUUGGAAGUGUAAAAACUAGAAGAUUUUAUACUUAUAAAUUCUUUUUUAUAAUUUUAAAUGAUAAAAUAUAUAUGAUUAAAAAUAAAUUAUUAUCCGGUAAGAUAAAUUGUUUUAUUAUAAUAAAAAAUGAGUAAAAUGUUAAUUAUCUAAACAAAAAAAAUAUAAAGCAGUAAUACAUCCAUGCCACCUUGUCACACAUUAUUUUUUGCCUUUAAAUGAGAACAAUUUGAUGUCAACAUUAAUCGAAUAACCUUGUCAUAUUAAAAAGGUCAUGAGAAAGGGAUAGAGAGUGACAAAAUUUGACACAAAAUGCGACCCUUCUCUUGUGUCUUAAUCAAUUUCACGUCUUCUACCAAUUAGCGUGACAAACGUCAAUAUUCGAUUGCAAGAAAAUCAACAACAACUCUCAAUUAAUUCACCACAAUUAUUUCAACACAAAAUAAUUAAUCUUGCCUUGUGGAAUUAAUUUUGGUCAUAAAAUAAUAAUCUCAACACUAUUUCCUUCUCAUUUUUCUUAAUUAUUAUUUUUUUUUCAAAUGUCUCAAUUUUAAAAUUUUUAAAAAUCUUACACUCUUUUUUUUUUAAAAUUAAUUUUUUUUCAAAUUUUAAUAUAUAAAAUAUCUUAAGUUCUAUAAAAGAAUUAUUUAAAGGUGAUGUUAACCAUUUUUACACUACCAAUUUUAUUUAACUAACAUAUAUAAAAAUUGAAACAUUAAUUUUGGUGAAAACUCAAGAAAUUAAAAGUUGGAAAAAACUAUUAGUUAAAGACAGAAAGAGAAAGAGUAAAUUUAUUUUAUGUAUUAUUAGUUUUGUUUAGGUAGCAACAACAAAAACCCUUUGACCCUUAAAAAAUCUGAUCCUCUCUUCAAAUAUAUACACCAAAUUAAGUUGAAUUGCACAAAUUUGAUGGGCUUUGGAUGCUUUUCAAUGUUGGGGUGAUGGUACCUAGCCAAGAGUAAAGUUAGUGUUAAGCAACGGUCCGGCUGAGUCGAGGGCCAGCCGGCCAUAAUCAAAGGCUUUAUAGCUAAGUUUUAGGGAUGAAAACUAGGAAAUCAACAACAUUAAAAUACCAUUCGUCGCCUUCUUCUCCUUCCGUUUCCGACAUCGCAACGACCCAACAACAGAAUCUUGCUUCGUUUUCCAAUAUGGCGCGAAAGUCCUCUCUUUUCAAACAGACCCUCAUCGCCACCGCCUUCUUCAUCCUCGCCAUCUACGCCUUGUUCACCACUUUCUUCCACACCCCCCUUCCCGUCUCCGACACCGUGUCUCCUUCCGACGACGCCGCCGACGUUUCUUCCGUCGAGUUUCCUGAGAGACGAGCGGACGGGUCCGGGUCCGUCGGGAACGUCAAGGUCUUUAUGUACGAUCUCCCUCACAAGUUCACCUACGGCCUCAUCCAGCAGCACGGCCUGGCGCGUGGCGGAUCCCCCGUCGAUGACGUCAGCACCCUCAAGUAUCCCGGCCACCAGCACAUGCACGAGUGGUUCCUGUUCGCCGACCUGGCACGACCCGAAUCGGACCGCCUCGGAUCCCCUAUCGUUAAAGUCACUGACCCGGAAGAAGCCGACCUUUUCUACGUUCCCGUCUUUUCUUCGUUGAGCUUGAUUGUGAACGCGGGUCGGCCUCCGGGUACCGGUUCGGGUUACAGCGAUGAGCAAAUGCAGGAAGAGCUGGUGGAGUGGCUCAACGGGCAGGAGUACUGGAAGAGGAAUAAUGGGUGGGAUCACGUGAUAAUUGCGGGGGAUCCCAAUGCGCUUUAUCGGGUCGUGGAUCGGGUCAAGAAUGCUGUUUUGUUAGUUGCGGAUUUUGGGCGGUUGAGGCCGGAUCAAGGGUCAUUGGUAAAGGAUGUCAUAAUUCCUUAUUCGCAUCGGAUUAGCGCUUACACUGGAGAUUUUGGGGUGGAAGAGAGGAAAACAUUGCUCUUUUUCAUGGGGAAUCGGUAUAGAAAAGAGGUAAUCAAUAGUUCAUUACAAGAAUUUUUAAUUUCAUGUCUUUGUUGAGCAGGUUAUGAUGUUAGUUUCUAUUUCAUAUUUUAAGUUUCAUUUAUCGAACUGGAGGUUUUUGUUUGUUAAGCUUACGGAGCAUGAACAUAGUUGGUUUAAGUUGUGCCACCAGAUGAGCUGAAGUAUUGAGCAAAAAAAAGAUGAGCUGGAGUUGAAACUUGGAUUAGGAAAUCAAGGAAAAAGAUGAGCUGGAGUUGAAAUUUAGAUUAGGAAAUCAAGGAAAAACAUAGAGUUAUGGAGUAAUUAUUAGCUUGAGCUUGCUUAUAUCCUGCUAUAUUUUAUACAGACUACUGCACAUGAAGGCAUUGGCCUAAAAUCCUCGAUUGAUCACUCAUAUUCAACUACUGUUUCCACUGCUCUUCUAAAAUCAGGGCUUAAUUUGACUGCUUCCAUCUUACUUAGACCUGUAAUGGAUGACUACCUCAUGCUCUUCAUCCAAAACUGUUUUGUUUAUCAUAAUUUGCUGUGUUGGCCUCACCAAAGUUUCUACGUUUGCUCUGAAUGGUUUUUUUAUUUCAUCCACAACUAUUCUGUUGAGUAGAAAGUUCUUCCCUAUUCGCUAGCUUAAAUGACUGCUCUUGACUUUCUGGUUAAGAAUUAUACUAUAGCCCCUCACACAAGCAGAUGUUAGUUUGAAAUCAGAUGCUAUCAUGAAGGAGAUCUCACAUGAAGGACUAGCAUACCAUGAUAUGUUGGUAGUAGUACUUGCAGGAUAAUCAUGUUAGGUGAACUUGUUUCCUCAGUUGAUUUUUCGUUUAUGGGUUCCUUUGUGAUGCUGAUGUUUUUUCAGGGAGGCAAAAUUCGCGAUUUGCUUUUUCAAAUACUUGAAAGUGAAGAAGAUGUCUUAAUAAAACAUGGAACACAAUCCAGAGAGAACAGAAGAGCAGCCUCACAUGGGAUGCACACAUCAAAGUUCUGUUUAAAUCCUGCAGGCGAUACUCCAUCAGCUUGCAGACUCUUUGAUGCUAUCGUUAGCUUGUGUGUCCCAGUGAUAGUCAGUGAUAACAUUGAGUUGCCUUUUGAAGAUAUUAUAGACUACAAAAAGUUUUCAGUAUUUGUGGAAACUACAGCUGCACUAAAACCCGGAUAUCUUGUUUCAUUGCUGAGACAAGUACCUGCGGAGAAAAUUAUUGAAUAUCAGAAAGCAAUGAAAGAGGUUUGUACUAUUUGCAUUUCCUUUCCUUUUAUCUUAUCAUUCUCAUUAAAUUACUCCAUUAUUGAGAAGUAAUAACAUUUAUUUCAUGUAUAAAAUUGACAACCAGAAUUUAAUCCUACUACACGUUUUCAAUAAGUAUAUAUUUGCAUUUUACAUCAUGCAUUUUAUUUGUCAAAUAUCUCUUGUUAAAAUUGCUUAGUGAUGAUGUGGUUUUGCUUUCUAAACUCCAACCUUGUGUCUACUCCAGACAGUUCCAUAUGACAAAUAUGGAAAUCUGUGUUCUGAUUUGCUAAUGUUAUCUGUUUUUUGAGCAAUUUUCCUCAUUAAGAGCUAUUGGAAUCAAUCUGUUUCUGUUUCUGUGCUUGUGCCUUUCAGUGCCAUGGAGUCUGUUGCAUAUGUAAAAAGCAGAAAUAUUAUAGAGCAUCAUCCUCUUCUCUUAUUUUAUGGCUGAGCUAUGUAUUGUUAUCAAUUUGAAUUACUCUAUGUUGCGUCAAUAGGUUCUGUAAAUUGGACCUAUGGGUAAAACAUGAACAGAAUCUGACUUUAACUUUCCACCCCAUAUAAUCAGCCUCAGAAUAGUGGGCUGGAGUCUGGUGGUAAAGUUCUUGUAACAAUUCCAGAAGGUGCUACAUAAGAAAGGAUUAUGUUUAUACAUGUCUGUGUAAGACGAGUAGAAGAGAUACUGAGUGUAGUGUCGACUGGAGUGUGGUAUUCUUUUUCUUGUUUGUUCUCAUGCAUCAUUACAUAGUUACCAGUGAUCACAAAAUCAUGAUUUUAUUUUAAAUAUCUGUGACUGAGUUUUGUUCUCAAUUUAAAUUUUGUGGAUUCAGGUGAAGCGGUACUAUGACUACACUGUUCCGAAUGGAACAGUUAAUGAAAUCUGGCGGCAAGUCUCACAAAAGCUACCUCUUAUCAAACUUAUGAUUAAUCGUGACAAACGGCUUGUUAAGAUGGAGUUGAAUGAGCCCAACUGCUCAUGUCUUUGUUCAAACCAGACAGGAAUUAUCAGCUCCUUGUGAUAACAUCAUUUUUUGGUGAUCCUUGAAGUUCAUCUGUCAAAAUGACUGUCCCUGAAUACGAGCGAGGCAGAUACUCGACCAGACCCUCCCAGGUUUGAGGAAUAAUUUAUGAUACCCGUUUGCCUUCAGGGUGGGGUUUUCUCCUACUGCUGAUGAGGCUAGUGAAAUUUGCCAUUGUGGAAGGCUUUCUUGCAUACGUUGUUGUAGAGUAGAUUGAAAUUUUGAUUAUAGUUGUAAUUGUAAUUGAUUUGUACAUUGUAGAAAUAAAAAUAUCAGUGAUGCUUUGAUUCUUUUACUUCGGCCUGCAAUCUUUUGAUUGAAAAAUCAAAUUGCAUGUAAUAGCACAAAACCCAAAUUUCUCAUCUCUUCAAGGUGUUAAGAUUCGAAGUACAUUAGACCAAUUCAAGCCUUAGAAAUGAUAGAAAAGAAGACGAGAAAGAGAGCACAAGGGAGAUUGAAAGCCAUGAAAGUUUCAGGAUGCAUCUGCUUCAACUCCUUAACCAGGUGGCCAGUUCAUCUGUCUCCCACCUAGGACAUGCAAGUGAAGAUGAUAAACUGAUUGACCUGAAGAGAGCGAGAGAGAGAGAGAGAGAGAGGUAAUAAACAUGAGUAUGAACUGCAAACCAAAGUCAAAAACUAUGGAGACAAGAUGAUAACUCACAGGCACUUGGACCAUUAUUGAUGACAACUCGAAACCCAUCAACAAUGCCUUCUUUUUCAGCAACAAUUUUGGCAGCAUAAAGAAGUUGACCCAGAAUCUCUCCGUGCCUUGGUUCAGCCUGACAAGUUAGAAACAAGAAACUAAAAUCAGACUACAGGACAGCAAUUUCAAUUACAUUCUUCAAAGAAAAUCCAAACGAAGUUUAUGGAUCUGGUAUGCAAAUUCUUUAUGGGCUCAUCUUCCUCAUAAAAGCACAGCAAAAUUUUUAAAAAAGAGGGAAAACCUAAUCAACUAGAACAGCAAAAUUCACAAAACAUGUUCAGAUGGUCCAGCAAGUCAUGCAAGACAAAAUGCAACAAUUUAUAUAGAUAUAGCAGUAUCAAUAAAUAUGACUGGGACACACCUUUCCAAGCUGUGUCAAUCCAUCCCUAAACUUUGGAAUGACUAAAACAUGAACAGGAGCCUGUGGAUUGAUGUCCUUGAAUGCUAAGACUUUAUCAUCUUCAUACACAAUGGUUGAAGGAAUUUCCUUUGCUAUGAUCUUGUCAAAUCUGAAUGAAAUGAAAAAAAAGAAUCAACUCUUAAUUCAAUAAGUAAACGGCAUAAACACCUGUGACUCUGUUGAACUCCUAAUUCAAGGAUUUUAAUAGUUUGUUACUAAUGUGCACUGAUGAACUCUGGUGAUUCUAGUGACUUUGUAUGGAUGGGGGUUUCUUGUGCACUCUGUUUGUCUCUAGUGUAUUGUUUUUUACAAAUGUGCAGGUGGAAACAAGUGUUCUGUGGUAUUUUUUGUAAAUGUGCAGGAGGUGGAAAUUAUAAUUUCCCAUACUCUGCUGUUGGAGGUAUGAUACGGGCAGUGUGAAUUGUGAUAGUCUGUAGAGAUGGGGCUCUAUGCUGGGGGUGAAGGGUCUGCAAGAACAGGAAACAAACUUCUUCUUGUUGUUUUAUAUUCUUGCUGAUCCAACUUUGCCGGCUCCUGCGAGAGGCUCUGAGUUUGUAAAGGUGUUUGUAUCCUUGGGUCCUGUUUUUGGUCUUUGUACAGUGGGCUUGAGUAUUAGUACUGGAAAUUUUUUGUAAACCAGUACGCCAUGGAGGAGCCAUCCACAGUCAUGGCUGUUCAUCCUUCUUUUGUAACUGGGGAAACCUGGUAUCUUUUGAUAUUGAAUCAUCAUCAUAAUUUACAAAAAAAAAAAAAAGAUUUUAAUAGUUAGCAUUUAGCAACAAUGUGUUCUCCCCCUUCUUCCAUAUCUCAUAGAGAAGUUAUCAGCAUAAUCAAUUCUUUGUCUACAAUCUAUAUGUCCCUUUUAACAUUACAAAGCGCUAACCCUAAACUUAAAAUGUUAUUCCCAAUGUUUUUUACUUUUAUUCUUAAAAUCAUAUAAAAGGGAGAUGAAUUUCCAUAUGUCAUCAAAAUCCAUAAAAUUCAACAAAAUAAUAUAUAACAAAUUCCAAGCUGGAACUGGAAUUUGAAACCAAACCAGGGUAUUAUAGAUGAUACAUGGUUGGAACUCCACUGUCAGCAUUGAUUGCAGCUGCCUUCGCUGCAGCCUCUUCAUCAUGUGUAGCACUAGCACGACAUAGAUAUCUACAGAGUGCGAUUCAGAGACAUCAAGAAAAGGCCAUUGGAAAAUUGACAAAGUUUUGCAGUUUUUCUUCACUUCACUUCACUUGUUUGCUAAACCACAAAAAGAAAAUGAAAAACAACAACAAUUUGAAGCCUAAUUGAACAUUCUUUUCACCCCAUUUUCUUUGAUUAGCUAAUUAACAACAAAAGUAAUAGCAAUCCAGCAAUUGAAUGCUGAAAUAACAGAACUUUCCUUGUCUACACCAAACCAAAAGAAUGGAGGGAAACGAAAAUAGUACCUCCGUGAGUGAUUUGCAGUUAGAAAAUUUAUAGAACUGGGAUAAGAAGAGAUUCCUGGUGAGGCUCUCACUCUUGCAACAAUCCUUCCAGCCCUUGCAUAAUCACUGUUCAAAUCAAAUACCCAGAAUCAAUAUUCUAUCACUAUAUACUUACAGAUACGCAGAAAAUGACAAUAGAGAUGAGUCAUAAGAGUACCGAAGAACAGAGAAAGAGGUGAAAGCAGCCAUAGAUUUUUGGGCUGAUAUCAUUUAUCUGUUUCUCUCAAAUGUUUUACUAGCUGAAACUGUGAAAGUGAACAAAAGUAGCCGCUUGGUGAACUGGUAGAAGCGAUUUCUGAUGAUGGGUACUCCCUGAUCUGAUCCGGGCCUUUGAAUUUCUGGGCCAGUCCAAUUUGCACUUUAAAAUCAUACAAGUUUGAAAAAGUUCGUGUGGCUCUGAUUAAAAGCACGUUUUUUUUUCCACGGAUGGGUAUUAUCUCACACUUCACUACAUAUAACAAAUCUUUCAAGAUUGAAUUUUUAGAUUAAAGAACAUACAGAGAAGGGCUGGACGAAAAUGGCCAACUUCGUUCUGCAACUGCCAACCAGCAACUUGAGAAGCUUCUCUGUUUAUGCUUCAUCUAACGGUACCUUCCGUAUUUCUGUUUUCUAUGUUAAGAAAGAUGGAUUCUUUCUGCUUUUUCCAACAUUUCUGCUAAGAUUGUGUCUGCUCAAAAGUAAUAGCCUUUGGAUUACUGAUAUUGGCAUGAAAGAAUAAGUAGUACUACUUUUAAUUCUAUGAAUUUAUUAUGUAUUUUGUGAUUGUAUUUGAUUGGAUUCUUGCUUGGUUGAAUGCUUGAGUUGAAUGCAAACUAGGGGCUCCUAUGGGUACUGGUUCACAAAGUGGGGGCCCUGUGAUUUUGGAGCUUCCGCUUGAUAAGAUCAGGAGACCCCUGAUGCGCACCAGAGCAAAUGAUCCAAACAAAGUCCAGGAACUCAUGGACAGCAUUCGAGAAAUUGGACUUCAAGUACCUGUAAGCCUUUUCCAUUUUCUUGUUUUUUGUAGUAAAUGCAGUUGUUUUGAGUGCUUUAGAUAUGGUAGAACAGUCCUUGAAUACUCUCAUACUAGUUCCCAGAUUAUGAAGAAUCACCUGGAAAAUUUGAUCUUUUAGUGUUAUGAUUUGUUUUGUCUCUGAUUUUGAGUAUAAGAACUCAAAUCUUGACAAAAUUGUUCACCAAAAGAGCAUAUCCAAAUUGGUGACCAUCUUUUUAAAAGAUAAGAAGUCCACAUUGACCCUGUAUUUUAAGAUGCAGAAAGCUUUGAUAGUAUAGAUAGAUGAUAUACUAGGAUUUCCCCUUCAAAUUUUCAUGACUUAUUAUUUGUGCCUUGAUCUUGUAAUUCUUGAACUACUAUUUGUUGAACUUAAAACCUUUUUUCUGAUAAUCAAAUCAAUUGCAGAUUGAUGUGCUCGAAGUUGAGGGAGUUUACUAUGGUAAUGUGCUUAAUGUACUUUUAUCUUGAUUCUUCAACCUGCCAGUUCUUGGCUACUUCUAGUCCAUGGAUCCUAAAUUGGAAUACGUCAAUAUAUCAUUGGCUUCAAUGUUUUUCUCUGUAGCUAAUACCUUGGAGACUAGAACUUACCUUUCUCAUUUCUGCACAUCCCAAUUGUACAGGUUUCUCCGGUUGUCAUCGUUAUGAGGCUCACCAGCGCCUUGGGCUCCCAACAAUCCGUUGCAAAGUUCGACGUGGAACCAAAGAAACUCUCAGGUUUCGGUUUUCUCAGUUUUUGCUCGAGUCAUAAUCAGUCUGUUCUACCUUUCAACCUCAGUUGACAACCAAGUUUGUUUAAACUUUAUCUUCAUUUUGCAGGCAUCAUCUUCGCUGAGUGGUAGUAUCUGCUUCUUAAAGUGCAUACACAACUUUGAUGAUGUUAAUCAGACAGUAUAUGCACUUCUCAGCUUUUUGCAAGUGCAGUAUAUUCUCAACCUAUUUUAUUCUUGUUCAGGUUUGUAGAUUACCAUGUAAUCGAUAGUAAUAUACAGUUUUUUAUGAGUCUCGAAUAUAAUUAGAAUCAUACCUCCAAUGUUAUGUUAAGUGAUCAUUAAAUCGAUGGCAGUGGAUAUAUAUAAGUUUAGUAGGUUAAGUAAAAUAGCUAGUGUUUUGUUCCUGGCAAGUACCAUUGAUCCAUGCUGUGACAGGAAAAUUGGAUUACCCUUUGAAUGGCUGGAAACUGUUUGAACACUCCGCACCCAGACUUUCUUGGGAGCCUUGAGCUGAAAAUUCAGUGGCCCUCUUUGCCUUCUGCAUGCUGCUUUAUUCAUUGAAAUUGAUUAAAUGUGUCCAUGGAUUGAUUGACAGUAGUAAGGAAUGGAGCAGAAGAUUUGCUAUCUAUUAGUAAAGUUCUUUCCCUCAAUGUAUAAGACCUUAAUUCUUGUUAGGAGCUUCAACCAAAAACUCUGAAUCGAUGCAUAGGUACCCGUCUUGCAGCCACUCUGCAAUGCUAAACGUGGUUGUGAAAUCAGAAUAUGAUGAUGGAAAAAGCCUGAGGGAUAUCGCAUUUGUUCUUGUAAGGGCUGGAAUCGGAAAUAACAUCAAAAGCUUGCAAGCAAUUCAUCAACUUUUGACAUUUUUUGUGUCACAGUUUUAAAAGAAAGUUAUGAAUUCCUCAUUGAUUGUUUGCUAGAGUGAGACGGAAUAUUUAAAUGUUUCACUCCACCUUCGUCAACAUAAUGCGAGUCCCAAUGAACCAAAACGAAAAAUAUUUGCAGGUUGAUACAGACCCUAAAUCAUGAUUAAAACUCCAGGUGAUCAAUGAACAACCAGAUUUUGUAUGUAAAACCACAGGUCGAUAUCAUCAAUAUAAGAUAAAUGAUUGAUGAACAACCGGAUUUUGUAUCGAAAACCACAUGUUUAUAUCAUCAAUAUAAGAUAAAUGAUACGAUCAUUCUGAUGCAAUGUUAGCUAGCUGGGGCAAUAGUUACAAAAAGCAGAAAUCAAUCCACAGGGAUAUCCAGGAGAAGCUUUAUUCUUUGGCAAAUGUAGUGUUUUUUCUUUUACCUAUAUAGUUAGUUUUUUUUUUUUUUUUUUUGGUACAACUGGGAGCAUUGCGGCUGAAACUAGGAUCUGAACCAACUAUUCAACCCCCAUGAGCGAAAAGCACAGGCCUAGGUACACAAAACGAUAUGUAACAUUUAACUUACAGGAAAAAUAACAGUGUAAUAAAAGUUGUGAAGUACAUUUACAUACACAUUUUGCCAAAAUUUGUGUGAGCUAACUCUAAUUUUAUGACCUAAUCACUAAUCGUUGACAAGAGACACAUAAUUUAGCCUUUAUAAUCCUUUCUUGAUGCUGACCGUCAUUCUACUUGUAUGAUAUUGGACCAGACCUUGAUACAGCAAACCUUGGCAGCGGACUGGGACCUGUGCUUCCCGAAGCCGAUCCUUCAGGGUUCUUAACUUUACGGCUUGAACUGUAAUCCAAAGGCCCAGACCGGCGAACGUUUCUAUGUUUGUUUUCAGCACUUCGUAGGCUUCCACUUUCGGCAUCAUAAAGGUGCUCCUGGCUGUAUGAUGAAGAUCCUUUAAAGUAACCUGAAUCAUUAGCACUAUACUGUGGAGUCAAAUCUCCACGGGGUUGCCUCAUUACAGGGGAUGCAUGUGCCAAUGAUACAGAAGGUGAAUGGCGUGGUGAAGCACUUAAUAGUGCCAGUGGCAUCAAAGGAGAAUUUGCAUAGUACUGGCUAUAUAUUGAACGGAGAAUAGCAUAAGGAACGUGGGUCUCAAGAGAGCUUCUUGGAAGGUAUGGUGAAAUGUCAGAGAGUUGGUCAAGAAAAAUAAGCUUGGCGACAAGAUGAGAUCUGCACAUAUUGAUGGACAAACAUCAACACUUUGCAACUACAGCAUUAACAGGAUAUGCAUACACAUGAGAUGUGAAUAGUGGAUUGUCAUGGUUUUUUUAAAGUUACACAUGUAAUAUCUCAUCAAAUUUAACAAAUAAAGACCAGGGAGUACUAGAAUUAGAACCAAUCAUUUAAACACUAAAACCCAAUAGGUCAAAUCCAUGACAGUGACAAUUUCCAUGAUGUUGACAUGUUAACAGUUAUUAAUAAAAUACUCGAGAAAAUGUGAAAUAACAUGAGAUUAGAUAAUUCUUUAAGAAAUUAACGCAGACUUCAGAAGCAUCAGUGCUUAAGCAAAGGUUAGUAUAGGUCUCAAGUGGAAAAUUUUACCAUUAAAGAAAAAAAGGGCAUGAAGGGACUGCACCAACAUCAGUAUCAUUUACCUGUUAGCUUCGUUCCAUGAAUCUAGUACAAUUCCUGCCGAGAAUUUAACAAAUAGUUGCAUUGCUGCUUUUAUACUGGCUUCUGCGGAUACACGGAUAUCAGGAUCCAAACUGUCACCGGCAUGACCAUUUGAGAGCAACUGUCUCUGGUGAUGUUCACGUGCCAAUCUAACAUACUCACUUCCGGCUAUAACAGCACUGAUGCACCUGUCAAGUUCAAAUUAAAUAAUUAGCACUCUGGUCAAACAGCAUAUUGCUAACCCCCUUAUUUUACUACAAUCCAUAUAGAAGCAAUGCUUGAGCAGUAACAAUCAAAAGUCUAAUAGACAGUUUGUCUCCUGAAUGACUUCAUCAAGAAGCCUUAAUUUUGACACAAACAACCAAAGCUGGUGUGCAGGCCAGGGUGUAGAAUCUACAUGAGGCGUAUCUAAGUCCCUCAUUUUAAUUCUGAGAGAUUUUGAACUGCAAACCAACAAGUCAAUGUUGGGUUAGACAUACUAGUUACUAGGCAUUCAGUUCAGAACAUGGCAAUACUAUGUUUUCUAGAACUCAAGGUCAACCCAAAACUAUUUAAAAAAAUGAAAAAAAAAAUCAGAAAGGACACCCACCUUGCCAAGCCAUGAAUAUUGUUGUUGAAACCCCCCGUGUCAACAUUGAAGCCAGUCGUGUUCCAGAUAUUUGAUGUCAUGAAGGUGGCAAAUAAAUAAGGCAAUAAGCUCCAGGACCCAUCAUUUGCACCUCCAACUUCUUCCAAAAUCGACCUAACCCACUCAGAGUCAUGAUCACCAGCAAGCGCAACACUGUUUGCUACCCCCCUCAUUCUUCUGAUUUCCCGCUUUUCAGGUAUUUCUUCAGGUAUGUGCUUAACUACCCCAGCAAGCAAUGAAUAAAUCAAGGGUGCACCUUCUUCGAGCACUGCUCCAGCAGCUUCAGCUAAAAGUUUAUCAAAAGCCAAUGCUUGUCCUGCCUCAAUACAAAAACCAAUUAUUGUGUCCAAAUCCACAAUUUGCUUCAAACAAGCUUCUCUUUCUAUCCUGUCACCAGAAUGCAUGCUGCCAGCAACUGCUUCUAACAACUCACGAUUUGACCGCAAUGAUGUGUCAAUGCAAUUCAACAGGGCAGCAGUAUGUUCUUUCAUCAUCCUAUCUAGUCUGUCAACUCCAUAACCACCAAAUAUACGAACGAAGGCCUGCAAUUCUCUAAGAUCAGUGACUGACUCAGCAAAAUAUCCACCAACUGGCCUCGUGCUUUUGAAGCAUUUGUGCAUGGGUGUAAACAGAAUUCCAGCACCGGACAUAUCCUUCACAAUGUUUUCUAUGUACCAGUUGCAGACAACUUCAGUGGCUGAUCCAGUAUGUUGCUCUGCUGGUUUAUCAAAUACGUGCAGAGAAGAAAUUGGUCCAGAAAAGGUCUCUGAAAGUAAAACUUCUCGAAUUCCUUGAGUUAGAUCCAUGCUAAUGUGCUGUUCUGCUAGAUGGACUAUAUUCAUGUGUCUGCGGAUCAGUGAUUCUAGAAUAGAAGGCCUUUGAAGAUCAUUAUCAGUUUUUAGUACUGUAAGUAAUCUCCUUCUGAAGUUGCCAAGGAUGCAUUCCCUCAUGUACUGCACAUAUGAUGAGAAUAUUAAAACCAUAACACAUGAACACCAAAUGGCCUGCUAUGAAUAUUUGACCACAGAUGAAUCUACCACAUCAAGAAAAAUAAGCAAGAUAAUCUUGCUUUCAACUAAUAUGUUAAAUAGCGGCUUAAAUAAAGAAAACCUAAUAAGUUAAACCCCAAUUUACCAAGAAAGUUAGCAGAAUAAAAUAGCCAACUCAGAACCUAUCAGUAGGACUGCAAAUGAAAUGGAAACGUAUUCUAGGAAACCAAUAGGCCAGGCUCACAUUUAACCGCUGCUACAUAAAAGGGCCAGAAACAGAUUUAGCAAGACUCACCUCCCUCAGAACAAAGACAUGGUUCAGAACACAUAUAGGCUCCAUAUCAUUCAAAACUGAACACAAAUUGGUCAACCUCUGCAUUGCAGCCUCCAACCUAGAAUAAAACAAAAGUUGUCACUAUUGACUGUACCGACUGCAUACAAUUUCAGCAAAGGAAAGAAAAGUUCAUGCAAGUGCCUUACAUUUUAAUAGAAUUGUUAUUCUCUGGAUAACUUUCAUGGCCUGGCAAAGGAUAGCCAACUGCUCCUUUUGGGGAUUUUGCCGAAGGAAUCGAAGCUCUGGAUGCAUUAUUCAAAUAAGAUGCUGCUUGCUCUGGAAGAAGCUGAGAUUACUUGAAACAUUAGGUUUAUAAAAUGUUAAAUAUCUUCAAUUAGUUACACUGGAAUAUGGAUUCAAUAUGAACCUGCAUCUCCAAAGCCCCAAAUCCACCUUCAGAAUCAAGGAUAUUAAUUAAACCUUCCAAUCCUCCCAUGAUUGAUUCAAUGAGAGACUCAACAUAUAGGACUGCAUCUCGCUCAAUUUUCGUCACCUGAUUAUGGUUAAAUACAAGCACAAAUCAGGUUUCCCAUUUUUAUAUUUCCAUCUGAUGAGAGGGAAAAACAAAAGUGGUACUGCAGAUUGAGCAUAAAUAAUCUCAAAACAAUAUGUUGUCAUAAGUCAUAACUUGUCAGAAGAAGGGUAAAUACAAUGUGUAGAUUUUGUGCAACCGCUAGAAAAAUGGGGGAUGAAAGACUAUGAAAUGGGGGGAGUGGGGUGUUUCAUGCUGAUGUUUAAUUAAAUCAUUACCUCCUCUGGAACAAUUCGAGAUGCACACUCUGGAAAACUACCAGCAACACCAAGCCAUGCACAGCAAUGUUGCGGACGCCCCUCUGGUCCAAACAUAGUGUUCCUAAAGACCUAUUACGACAAGUAUACAGAAGUCACUAUUGCAUGCAAGCUAUUUCCAACAGAAAGAACAGGAAAGAGUUUCAAAGCAUACUGCUGUAAGAUGCUGAUGGUAGAAAUACAGCUUUUUGAGACUACCAUGCAUUGACAAUUGAGACUCUAGUUCAUCAACACAUCUGCAUUGAGACAGAUCCACACAAUUAUCAUUGUUUUCUUUUACAUAACAAAAGUAUAUGACUUUGUUUAGCAAGUGUUAGACUGCUAUGCUUUUAAUUUUUAAAGAAAAAAAUGAAAUGAAUACAUAGUUUUACUUAACGGAAUUUCUGAAUCAGACAAAACGAUGACUUUAAAGCAUAAGUUUUGUUUUGGAAGGAAUGAGAAAACUGGACAUGCAGGUUUAUCUUGAACUCUAUCAAUUGCUCCAUUCAUGAAGACCUUCAAAUAUCAAUUAUUUGAGAUACAAUAUAUUAUGAGCUGUGAUAUGUGAAAAUUUCUCCCUAGUAACAGCUGCAAUGCUGGAGUAUCAUCAUUCUAAGCAUCUGUGAACACAUGCCACAACAGCCACUCAUAAAUAAAAUAAUGCUCCCCAAUACGCAAAACAAACAAUACUGUAUAAUUCCACCUUUCAAAAUAAAUUGUUCCCUAAGAUCAAAUCAAGUUUAUUUUAACAUUUCACAAUACAUAUUGACUGCAGUUGAAUAGAUUUGGAUGAGUUAUUGCAAUAAAAGCCAGACAAAUCAUGUCAAUCAAAGUCAGGGCACCUGGACCAAUUGUAUGCUGCAUUUCCUUCUGAUAGCAACCCUUCCUUUCCGGUAGAGACAGUAGCUUUCUCCAAAUGUCUUAUGUUUAUAGAUGAUCGGGCAGAUGUAACAAUCAUCAAUAUAGACAACCAAUCUUUACGGAACUCCUGGUUAAGAAUCAUGUAUGAUUUCCAAUUAGGCAUACCAUCAUAAACAUGCCGCUUCUAAAUGCAUUCUGACAACAGUAAAAUGAAGUGAUAACAGAAGCAAUGAAGAAUAUUUCUAAAACUAACUCUCAUCAAAUGGGUAAAACAGUUGUCAAGCACAUGUACAUUAGAGAACAAAGGUAUUUAAAUGACACAGAAUAAGUUCAUUGCCCAAGGUUCCCACAGUAAAAAGGAACGAGUACAAGAGAACAUAGUUUUCAGAGUUAAUGGCCAAUAAAACAUGGCGCACAUAUUUGUGGACCAAAUGGAUGCAUAAGUUGGAAUCAUAACACAAAUAAAGUAUGUAUGUAUAUUACAUUUUAUAUAUAAACAAUUCCCUGUGGCUUCAUAUGUCAUUAACUAUGAACAAAUGCUACAUGACUAAAGUGACUACUUAACCUAAUACUAGCUUCACAAGCAAUAACUCAGCUAUUCUAAUUAUUAUUUAGUAUAAAUUUAUUCGUUCAUCCUUAAAAGGGAAAAAUAAGUGGCUUUUUAGAUUCCUUACAGAUAGGUCACAUGUGAUUGCAGAAAUAUUUUCACCCUGUGGCUUGGGUAUAUUCUCAAGGUGCUGGACGAUCUGCUGAAAGAGUGUUUUCAAGGUUGCAUCAAGAUCAAGAGCCACCAUUCCAGGAGUUCCCAGCAGAAACCGGAUUCUACCAGCACAGGAAGAGAGAUAUGAUAAUGCAUAACCUCGAAUUGCUGCAUCAAAAGAUGUAAAAUCUUUAAAAUAUAGUUCACUUAUGUGUGAAGUUUUUCUUGCAGUAAUAGAACAGCAUAGUAUAAUAUUUGCGCAGCAUGUGACUAUCAUUAUAGCAGUGAAAGGAACUAGAGAUAGAUAACUGCAUCAUUUGCCAUAGCAUCAGCAUUUACAGUCACUAUAUUUGGAAGAUUUUACCUCAAUAACCGGGAGUAGAGAUCUAGAUUUUUGCUACUAAAUUGGAAAGAAAAAUUUUUUUAUGAGGAUAUGAAAAAGGAGGUUUCUUGCUAAAAAAAACAAAGUAGAUACACUGAAAGCUUUUAGCUAUCAUUUACAGUCACUAUAUUUGGACGAUUUUACCUCAGUAAGAAAGUAGACCUACUUUGAUCUAGAUUUUUGCUAUUAGACUUUUUAUUGGAAAGUAAUUUUUUUUCUGAGGAAAUGAAAAAGUAGGUUUCUUGCUAGACAAAAGGCAGAUGAAUUGGAAGCUUUUAGCUAUCAUUUAGGCCUCCUUGAUAGGUUUAUGAUGUCAUAGAGCAGACUCCUGCCUUCUUUUCCAUGCUCCCCCUUUUUAAGGGCAUGUGUUUCAUUCACUCCUUAAAAGAUGCCUUUACCAUCCUUCAACAUUUGACACAAGGAAGGCCAACAUCUUAAAGGUUUAACAUUCUUCUAGACACAUACUCAGAGAUCUAUUUAUAUCUAUCUACUUAUAAUAUGCAUCUUCCAUACUAAAAGUAAACUUCAUUUAUUCACCUUCAUUAAAUGCUAGUUUGUUUACAUCAAAAAAGAGACUACCUGCAAUAUACUUGCGCACUAGACAGCAUAAAUGGUCCAUUCCAUCCAACAAGAACCCGAUAGUUGGAUCAUUUGGAUCCUGCAACAAAAUCAUUUCUGUCCAAGUUAAGCACCUUAUUAUGUUAUCUUAAUCACAAAGAGGCCUUUAGAAAUAAUAUAAUUCAAUUUGUUCAAUCAUUCAAAAGAAGCUGGAAAAAAGAAUACAACACAAAAGGAAAAUGUUAGCACAUCAAAUAAUCCCUUAGUUUGCAAGCGAUUCACACAUGGGAAGUAUAAACUAAAUCAACAUAUCUGAUUGGUUGCUGGCAGUUUAUUGUUAACAGUUUCAUUGUGGUUCCUAUUUUAUUGUUAAUGGUAGUUUUCCAUUUCAUGUUGUUGGAGGUUGUGUCUCCACCCUAUUUUAUUGUUAGUGGUAGUUUUCUAUUUCAUGUUAUUGGAGGUUGUGUCUCCACCUUUCCACUUUCUUGCUUUAAGGGUGGUUAUUCCACCAAGCUGUAGUUAAAAAGGAGUGAAGUUAAUAAAAGAGGUUGUUCAGAAUCUAUUCAAGUUUUUGAGUACUUAAAACUCAAGAGAUCUGCAUGUUCCCUCUAACGAGCCAGCACUACAAACAUAGGUCAAAAAAAGAAACCUUCAACCCAAGCACCUAGCGUACCUCAAACUAAACCAAACCCUUCAACACACCGUCCCAUUACUCGAUCCGUUUCAAGGGACCGUAUCAGAAAAACAAACAACAAAGUAGAACCAACAUUGAAACAUUAAGACUAGGGCAAAAACAAGGAAAAGAAAAGGAAACAACCUAGAAAGCCAAAAUAUCUUCAAGGUAACAGUUUAGUGACAUAAAGACCACAAACAUUACUUACUAUGUCAACUGGAACCAGCCGAGCACCUUUUGAUUUUGAUGAUGCAAUUCCUACAUGUUGAAAAUACCAAAUAACCUCACAUUGAGCCAACGCCAAUGCAGAAAAAACCAUCUGGGAGGAAGAAAAAAAUUAUUAGACAACACAUCGAGAAGAAGAAUAAUUAUAUUUCUAUAAUUUAUACAAAUAAAUGUGUUAGUUUUAGGACAAUAAAUUAAGAUGGUUGUGAGAGUAAGGUGUUAGAUUAUCCUCUUCAUGAAGCAUGGAAAUACAUAUAAAUUGAAACAAUGCCAAUAAAAGCUGCCUCACUGAUAACAACUUUGGGUAAUGGAUGUCAACAGCAUUACUAUUCCCAACCAGUCAGAAAGUUACAAGAAACAUUAUUUUCCAGGUCUCAAGAGCUUAUUUGGAAGGAGAAUCAUUUGAGUAUGUGGAAAGGAAAAAAGCUGUAGAAAGCUAGAAGCAAACUAGGAUAAAACUUUAAAAAGGAAAGGAUUCUUAAAAGAGCCUCGCACCAAUCAUACCUGAAUGUUUGGAGCCAAUAAACUUGGUUGAUCAGUGAAAAAGAGCACCAUCCUUCCAAUUUCUUGCUUUAACAGUAUUCUCCUCUCACGGUGUAUAGCAUCACAUGAUACCAAUGCUUGCUCAUGUACUUCACUGAAACCAUAAACCAAUUUAGCAUAUCAUAUUAAGGCUGAAGAUGGCAUGAAGAUCAGAAAACACAGAAAACAAUAGCUUUAAAAUGCUAUGGUAAUUAUCAAGGAUAUUUAUUAAGUGCCUGAAAACAAAGAGAGAGUGAAUGUUUUCAUGCCUUGAAAUUCUUGGGAUUGCUGAUAUUAUAUGGAUCAACACAAUUCACAGUCUUCCCAGUGAUCAUAUAUAGGUUUACAUAUUGGAUUUUAAGCUAAGUCUUCUGUACUUCUCUGUGUCUUUCUGAUUUCUAUUAGUCAUCAUGCUCAAGGACUUGCACCAAUUAUUAGAACUAUGAACUGUAAUCUAAAACAACAUGAAUGGCAAAGGACACACUUCUAUUCCCGUUCCCUCUACAGCUGUACUUUCCUCUCUUUUUCCCAACGUAUACUAACUUUCUGUGAACUUGCAAUGUGAUUUUAAACAUGGCAUUACCAAGAACUUGAUUUUCGGUUUCCCUAUGAACUUGAUCUUCAACCAAGUACACAUUUACAUGACAUUUUUAAGAACUUGACUUUUGUGUCCCUCUCACUUCCAAAUUCGUGAGGGGAGCUAUAAUGGUAAAACCGCAGGACCUAUUUAGUCCUCCACGUUGAAAAUCCAAUGACAAUUUAACAAAAUUCUCCAGCAUAAUUAUACAUAUAGAAGGUUAGAACAUGCCAAUUAAAUAAAUAAAGCUACAAAACAAUGAUGUCACCGGGAAUAAAGAAAAAUUAUCAAAAUGAUAAGUUAUCCCUCUGCAAUUUUUAAUCACAGCUCAUAAUAAUAAAAUGUGAAUAUAGUUCAGGUCCUGGCACUCAGACAUACCUUAUCAUUUUCUCAACUUGUUUGGCCACACUAUAUUCCAAAUCUGCUUCUUUUUGUUUGGUCCGCCCUGAUUUUGCCAUCUUCUUUGACUCUAAUAUCCGAGGCAAAACAUAUAACUGAUAAUCCUCAUGCAAUAGAACAUACUGCAUGCCCAAAAUUGCAAGAAGAGUCAGCUAAUAAAAUUUAAAAAUAAGAAAUAUAGGUUCAACAUCAGACAGUAAAACUUACCUCAUCCCUGAAUAAUGUAAGAACUAAAUUUUCCUUCAGUACAACCUGAAGACCAUUAGACCAUUAGGGAAAUAUAAGCAAAACAGAAGGACAGAAAAAGGAAUAAAUGAAAUUAAAAUAGGUGCUUAGAAAAAUGAAAAAGUCAGAAAAUUAUAACAGCCAAUCACUUUCCAGCAGAAUAAUCCAAAACUCAAAAAGGUGUACAGAUAGUUUUACUAAGAUUUCAAUAUGUCUAAACUCAUCCUUCUCAGCUGUAUGAUAUGAAUAACUUAUUCGCUAGUAUAUGCCAGGAAAAAUUAUAUUCAGAUGAUAAUUAUUUCAAAAAAAAGAAGCCAAAUUACAUGAGUCAUAAUACAGGUCCAUGUCCAGAGAACCCCACGCGGCUGCCCUUAUGCUCCUUGCAUAAGGGAAAAUACUACUGUUAUUGCUUUAAUGAAGAGAUGUUGAGAUUAACCAAUCGUUAAAGUGGUUGAGGUACCAUUUUUAGGAAAUAUUUUGGUUUAUAUCAAUCAACACAUUGUUAAUGCUAUAUGUUAAUAAUCCAAUUUUAUAAGAUUUUGCUAUGAAAAUGCUAUUAAAAAGAAAGGAUCAGUUGUAUCGAUAUUUGUUCUCUUGCCCAUUAGUAUACAUUCCAAUCUGAACUGCAAACUUGUUAGCACAAUAAGAGACAAAAGAACCAAAUGAAUUAUCAGGUGGUUACCAGAGCUAUAUCAAUGCUAGUGACACGAAGCAGCUCAUCAGGACAAACUAGAUACCCAAGUAACACCCACUCCCUAUAAGCAGUAACAUUUGCCAGAUCUUGGGCUCUCUGCAGUAUUGAUAAUGAUGUCAGAUAUGCAAUUGCAUUAAACACUGUAUUUGAUAGGAAAAAGAAAAUUCAAAAUUGCUAAAAUGAUAUAGAACAGGAAUUAUCUGGAAAGUUCAAGCAUCUUAAAAUAUCUCAAAUUCUUUCCAAAAUAACAGUAUUUACCAUCGGAUGAGCAGAAUUUGUAAGAAUGUCUGGAUAUCGAGGAUGAUAUGGACUUAAAAAUCCCUCAUUUCUCAGCUUCCUUGUGUCUGUGGAUAGGAAAAUAAUAGGACCCACAGCCUCUAAAACCUGGAAAUACAGAUUGGAAGAAUCAACCUAAUUAUCUCCAACAUAAAGACACGCAACUCUUGAAGUUGAAGCUUUUGGAAAGAUAAAGUUCUGCAACAAUCAUUUAACAUUUAAGCGAUAUGAGCCACCACAACACAUAAAACUAGACAAAAGCUUUCAAUGUAGUGGCAUUUAUAUAUGUAGUAGAAUUUUAUAAAAAGAUAAUCCUAUAUUAGAAACUUAUGUCCCUACUUACAACUUCCAAGCACCAUUUCAGGCAUUGUUAAUAUUUUUUGUUCCUUAUGGAUAGCUGUUAUAAACAUUUACAUCAAAUAGAAUCCUUGCUACAAAUAUGGGUUACAUGGAGAUGGUGACCUAACAUCCACAAUCUUAAAAAAGUAGAAUGAUCUUUACUACCAGAAUUUUAAUAAGAUGGUUGACUAAUUUUUUCAUCAUUUCCAAAAGAAAAAAAUAGCAACCACUUUUGAAAGAAAUAGAUUGGAAUUUGAUAAGAGACAAAUCAAUAUAGAUAAUGAAAAAAGCAAAAAGGCAGGGGGAGAUUUCCUCACUACGUGGGCAGGCCCACUUUCAGAAAUCCAUGCCAGCAGCUAAUACUUUUUAAAACUAGAAGAAAACUUCUGGCUACAACACAAGGAUACUACAAAGAAUAUACUUAGACAAAAUGGAGCAGAAACAUAAUAAACAAUGGUUAUCUACUUAUCUUGUUAAACAUCAAAAAUAAAUGUAAAAGAAAACGAGGUACAUUGAAAAAAUCAUGUUCAUAAGAAAAAGCAUGAAAACAACCUCUCCAAUACGUGGGCUGACAAAAUUGAGAUCUUCUUGUAAACCUUUCAAUGGUGGAUCAUAAGAAUCUAUGAAUUGAACCAACCUGAAAUUCAGGGAAAGAAAAUUACCUGUGUUACUUGCAAAUAAGCAAGAAUAAGAAUCAUAUGCAAAUUGCCUUUAAAGAAGAUUCAAGUAAAAGAAGUAUUAACCAGAUAAUUAUGACUUAGCAUAAAAGAGGAGAGGAACUUUGGUGAAUACUAAAGAAGAUGAUUUUUCCCGCAUAAUAAAUAUCAUGUGUUAAACAAACUAACUAAAUAACCAGCAUUAGGGCAUAAAUACUAACUCGAUAGUAAAUCUUUUAAACUCAUGUCUUUAUACAGCAUUUCCUUAAAGCUCAAGUCCUCUAAUCACAGCAGCAAAAUAGAUAAAAGAAAAUGUAUGUUUUUAUAUCAAAAGUAGCAAUAAAGUGAUACCCUCUAAACUCCCAGAGAAAAAAAAAGAAGGAAAUAUCCCUCAAGCAUUUACGUAUACUGGCUAGAAAUCAAUUACAUGUAUUGCAACAUACUUAGAAGCACACUGCAUGGUUAAAAGGUGGUGAUUGAGUUCAUACCGAUGAUAAAAAUCACAGUCCCUGUCAUUUCUUGACAUGGCAUGCAAAAGAUUAUACACUUGCAGCAUCAUUUUCCUUGGUAACUGUUAUUAAGGCAUCAAUUCCAAGGCAUCAGUGAAACCACAGCGACAAGUUUUUGCAUACAAAUACUUGUUUAAGAAAAUAGCUACAGGUUCUCAAAUAAGUAAUAUCGAUUCUCUGGCUCAUGCACACUUGUGUGUGUGCGCAAGGAGACUUAGCGAAAACACUUACCUUCUCAGCUAAAAGAUUGACACGAACAAAGGAACAGAAGAGAUCCAUAAAUGCAUGUAGUAUAAGGGAAUUUUGAUGAGGCUGCAAAAAGACUGUACCAAGUUACUAGAGAUAUAAUACAGAAAAAAAGUCAUCAUUUUUUCCAACUUCACCUGGAUAACAAAAUAUGAAGACUUUUCAAACAAAUGAGGAAGGAUACAACAAAAGCCUAUUAGCAGGACCUAGUUAGAUUAGAUUCAUUUUAGGACUCAUGUCACUUUAUUUCACACCUCCUAUAAGGUCAAACACCAAAAUGCAGGUGGACCAAGUCAGGUAUUUUUUAAAACCAACAAAAAACUUGCAAUAUAGAAGAUUGAGUUCAAACUUACCAGCAAGGUGAUAACUGUACUACUCAGGUCCAAUAUGAGUCUCAAAGCUUGUUCUCGGAAUUCCAUCAAAUCAAGAAGUAGCUAAUCCACGGAAAACAAAUCAAUCACUAUUACAAGUAUGCAAGAAAUGACCAUAUUAAUCAUCUAAUUAUACAUAAAAAAGAAACCUAACAAUAUAUUUGAAGACCAAGAAAGUUAACGUUACCCAGUCUAUAUUACUAAUAAGAUGCCAGCAAGGCGGUAUGUAACUGAAAUUAUGCACUGACACAUAUAGGAACAUGGCUGUGAAACUAGGAAGUGAAUGAAACUUUGACAGGUUAUAAACGCCUUUAUGAUAAUAUAAAAGUAGGAUUAUCUUUUGCAGGGCAGCAAGAAACUCCUCACCCGAACCCACAGUUCCAAACUCUGCAAAUGAACUUCUGCACUAUCACUCAAAGCAUCCAAACCAGCCUUAUCAACCUACACCAACGUUUACCAAGACAAUAGAAAAGUCUGAUACUCAGCAAUAGAAAAGAGCCACCAAACUUCAAUGUAUACCAACAUGUAAAAUUCAAUUCUUACACGCUCAAGUUGCAAUUUGCUGAAGUGCUCUGGGAACUUUUUCGAGAGCAAUAUACAAAUCCUUGGAUGGUUGGGAAACACACCCGCUUUCCAAAAUGCUUCUGAAAAUGCAUGACCUAUAGGAUCCGGGUAGUCCAAGAUUUGGUUUAAUCUAUACAUUUUGGCCAUGAGGCCUUCUGCAACUUCAAUUAGUUGCCCUACCCACUGCAUGUUCAAGCCCUUAUGGGAUCCACCACCCAAACUCUGGACCUGUCCGUCUGAAUUCAUGUAUCUAGAGCUCGUAGAUGUCAUAGAAGAAGUGGUGUCAGGACCCAAGUAUUCAGUCCACCUUGAUGGACCCUCCCAUUCCCUCGAUCUCCCAGUCGUAGGUGAUAAGGAUAAAUCUUGGGAGAAAUAAUGUUGCCGCGACUUCGCCAUGAACAAAUCAAGUCACUCAAAAUUACUGCAAAUGGAAGCUCGAAUUAAGACCAUAAUUGUAAAUAGUCCCACUACCUGCACUGUAAAUAUCUUCUUUACUCUUUUUCUUUUCACCUCAUUCAAUGUAAAGUGAAGAAUCCAAUGCCUUAAUUCAGCCCAAAAUGAAGAAAGGGAAAACACUAGUAGCAGAAUAGUUGUAGCUUUUAAUCUUCCAAAUUACCCAAUUACCCAUUUAUCAAAGGUUUGGAUGUACCAACUUUCCCUUUACUAACCACACACAUGCUUAAGGAAGAAAAUGAAGUAGAAAGACACAUGUACUUCAAAUUCAAAGUUAAAAAAACCGAAUAAUUUUGGUUUUGGUUGGCGUAGAGCAAAUUUCAAAACAAAACAAAACAAAAUUAAAAAAGAUCCCAUCAAGGAAAAACCAAAACUACCCAAAAUUAAAAAAGCGUGGCGAGUUGACAAGAAUUUUACCACAGCAUUUGAUUGAAGCUCAGCGGUGCUUCUUCUUUACCACAUUUUGUGAAGAAACCAGACACAAGGUCACAGCAACAAACAAACUCUUUCUUGAGAAGGAAACCAAGAGAAAGUAAAGUUGGGGUUAGGCUUGAAAAGAGAGGGUUUCUUUCUUGGUCUUUAAAGAGCUUCGAGUCCAGAUCUGAGAGAGACAAAGAGAGAGAGAAAUGGUUACUCGGUAGUUGGUUUCUUUUUGUUGUUUAUGAAGGUAGCAGAGCUGGAAUUCUUGAAUCCUGAAGAAAAUGAUUUUUCCCAAUUUGAGUGGAACUUUUAGAAGGUUCCGCGACCUUUUAUUUUCUCUUUCGGAUUUCUUUUCCUUUCUUUCCUUGUCCUUUUCUUUUUCUUUUCUGGUAACAGCAAAUAUAAAUGCAUUGCACGUAUAUAGCAGCAGUGCGUAGUCGGCACAGAAGAGAAAUUUACGGUUACUCAUGACGUGGCGGCCUUUUAUUUGCCAAGAAAAAUCUUACUCGGCGAGUAUUUACAUGCUGUAAACUUCAUCCGGUUAUAGUUAUUAGUUAAUUAGGUUUUCAAGGCAUGGAGUAUUAAAGGUCACAUAUCUUAAUCGGAUCAUAUAAAUAUAAAAUAUUAAUAAUCUAAAUAUGAUACAAUGUAAUAAAUAUAAAUAUGAUCUAAUUAAUUAAAUUUAUUAUAAUUUAAAUAUAUAUAAAUAUAUUAUAAAACACGUCACGAUUACUAUAAUUAUUAAUUUUUAUUCAACACAACACUAUUUAAUUAAUUAUGACAAGAAAUAAAACAAGGGGUCAAUUAUAUGCAAAUUAAUCACAAAAAAUCUACCAGAAAAUAUACGAAGAUGGUAGGGGCAUGAGUAGUUGAUUAAAUCCCAAGCGUAUCAGUGGAGCACAUGAAUUUGGUAGGUCCGCUCCUUUCAAUAUAAUUUUAUAAACAUUAUUAUUUUUACAAUUAUAUAUAAAAUAUAGUUUGACUUUCUGUUUAGUGGGAGGAGUUAAGCAGUGCGUAUAAUAGAAGGAUUAGGUCAUUUCGGCUAUGAGGAGGCCGACAUACUUGGCUUCGACAUUAAGCCACCAUCAUUAUCCUUUUUUUUACUGUUAAUUAUGACUGUACGAAUGGAUCCAUUAAUAAACAAAAUCGAUCUAAUGUAUCACUUAAGAGAUAAUAUUAAUCAGUUUUACCAAUAUCGAUCGAACAAAUUAAAUAAUCGAAAUCGGUUGAAUGAAUUACUAAUGUUUCAUUUAAAUAUGAUAUUAUUAUUGAUAAGGACAGUUGGAAAACCUACCAAAGGAAAAUGGGCAGUUGAUAGAGAAUUUAUUUGUAAAGUUGAGUUUAUUAAGUUUGCUAAAUCAAAUAUUGUUGAAGAAAUGUCAAGAAAGGUUUAAUUUUAAGUAGUAGGAUUGCUUCCUAAAACAGAGUGGUUACGUGAUAAAGACCACAAACUUAAUUUUUUAACUAAGUUUCAAAGAAUCAUUGGACUCUUGGUUGACUGAUUGAACUCGUCCUGGGGUAUGGAUUUCCAUUGGUUCCUCUUCAAUUCUGUUUCCUAGGAGUGGUUAGCCUUGGACCAAGAUAUCUAAACUGUGCAAAAAGGAGAAAUGGGGUCUGCUUUCUGCUCACAUUUUAGCAUGUGAUUGUCAACAGAUUCAUUGUAAAGUAGAGGAAUAAAAAACAGGGAAAGUCUUGGGAAGAGUUCACCAAAUGGUAGGUAAGAUGUACUUUUACUGACGAUAUGGUGGUAUGUUAUCAAACAUAUCAUUGAUCUUCUUUCGUCCUUGUGAUGUCACUGAAACUUAUUUUUCGCGUCAGAAAAGAACAAAAAAUGGAAAUCCCCCCUUCAACGAUUUCUGACAGUAACUAUCACAAAUGGAUGAUAGCUUGUUGAUGAGUUUAUCAUAACAUUAGUAGAAGUAAUGAUGAAAAUAGUUUUGUGUAGGCAAAUGAUAGCUACGAAUGAGAAGGAAGUGGCAACAAUGUUGAUGGCGGCUGCUGGUGCUAAUGAUGCAGAGAUAGUGUUGAUGGUGGUGGCCAAAGCAUCAUUGCAAAGGUAAGCUUGAUAAAAUUAGUUCCUGUUACCGUUACAAAUCCCUGGACUCAUGGAAGUGGUAAGACAUUAGUAGCUCCAGAGCACCGACGGAAGACAGCAUACCCAUCAAUACAUUAUUUGCUAGGCUAUGACUUCAAAAUGCAGUAAUUGAUAUCAAAACUAGUUCAUCAAAAUUGACAAAUCCAAUACAUCAGUUAAGAUAAAUUUUACAGAACAGCUAACUAAAUUUCACAGAAGGAACAUAUGGGGCUGCCAGCUGCAGGAGAGGCAGAAAAAGGGUGGGAAGGGGCCUAGGAAGGACUCAGGAGGCAGAAUGAGGAAAGUGAAGGCCUUCCCUGAUUUAAUCCAUGAACAAAAAGAUUUAGUGUUACAAGGAAGUACUGUAAUUCAGUACACUCAUUUAGGCUAUAAAUGGCAAGGUGCACGUUUCCAUUCUGGCUAAAAAACCAAGCAACCUGGAAUCACAGGCUUGGUUGCAACCAUUGUAAAAACAGCUUGGUGGCUUCUGUCUUGGCCACUUCAGCUUUCAUCUACCUGUAUUGUUUUUUACUCUUACCUUUUCUUUAAGGAGUUAUUCCUGGGACAUGAGGGACAGGUGGCUUGGGCUUCUUUGUUUUCUCCACCAUUAUCGCUUGAGUAGUUAGAACUAUCCCAGCAACAGAGACGGCAUUUUGUAGGGCAAACCUUGAAACUCGACAAGGAUCUACAACUCCGGCAUUGAUAAGAUCUUCGUAGCUUCCUGACAUUGCAUUAUACCCUAUUUGCCAAUCACACGUUCUAGUCUUCUCCACAACAACGUCUCCAUCAAUGCCUGCAUUAGUUGCAAUUACUUUUAAAGGUGCAAGGAGUGCCUGCAGUUAGCAAACAAAUUGUUAAAAUUUAAUCCUUUAUAAACUACAAAAGUAAGCAUCGAGCAAUCUAAUAACACUAAAAUGAAAAAAGGAAGAAGCAAUAAACUCAAAGACUUUAAUUUUAAUAUAUAUAAACAGACAGUUGACUCCAACAUAUAAUAUCUUAAGGGAUAAGAUGCAUACUUGUGCUACAAUAUCAGCACCAAUCCGUUCAUCUGAGUCUUCCAUAGAAUUCUUUAUCAUGUGAAUCUGCUCUGAAAGAUGUAUAUAAGUGGCACCACCUCCGGGUACUAUCCCUUCAUCCAUGGCAGCAAAUGUGGCAUUCUUUGCAUCUUCAAUUCUUAGUUUACGAUCUUCAAGUUCCAUCUCAGUAUGUGCUCCUACCUACAGUUAAGAUGCACAUUGUUUAACCAAGUUGAAGCAGAAGGAGUCAUGGGAAUAGUAAAACAUUUAAUUCUGCCUUUCUAUCUCAGUGUCUGCUAUUUGUCAUGGUUGCAAACCUUAAUGAUUGCCACACCACCAGAGAGUUUAGCAAUUCUUUCCGAGAGCUUUCUUGACAUGUAUGCACUAUCAGUCUCAGCUAGAUCCUUUUUGAUCUGCAUAAUUCUUGCCUGGAUUUCAGCUUUAGUAGAAGGAUCAGCAACUAUGGUUGUGGAAUUGCUUGUUAUAGUCACUUUUCGUGCAACACCAAGCUGAUCAGACGUUGCACCAGCAAGUGUCAGUCCCAAAUCUCCAGAAAGAAAAUCAGCCCCUAAUGAUGUAGAAGAUGUCAGUUUGCCAGCAUAUAAAACUGAAUGCAACUUUGAAGAAACACUUGUCAUAUUGCAACGCAUAUAAAACAAUCUCCAUGAGCAUAUCAAAAAGACAUUCAUACUUUCAGAUGAUAAAAUGAGGCACUGGAGAAAUUUAGGGGAAUUCAAUGUCUAAAUUAGACGAUAUAAUAAUGAAAAGGGAAAAGUAGUAUGUAAAACACAACAGUGCACCCAGAUGAGUUUUCAUAUAAAAUCUUUUGUUAAAGAAGACACAGCCGAUCAUCAGUGGAAUUAUAUAAAGCAUAUAUGAAAAAGAAGUUUGAUUAUAGAAGACAUGGCUGAUAAUCAGUGGAUUUGUAUAAAGCCUGCAUAAAAGCUAUUUAACCUGUCAUAAGGGCAAUAUCUUGCAACAGGGCUUUCUUUCCCUCCCCAAAUCCUGGACAUUUGACAACAGCAACAUUAAGUACACCUUGCAUUUUGUUCACAACUAGUGUUUCCAGCACUUGCAUGGAGAUAUCCUCAGCAAAGACGAGCAAAGGGACACUCAGUUGCAUAGUCUUUUCUAGUAAAGGAACAAUUUCUUUGACAGUUGAAAUCUUUUGAUCAGUUACAAGGACUUUAGCAUUGUCAAACUCCACAAGAGACUUAUCCUGAUUGGUAAUGAACUGUGGUGACAUAUAUCCCUUGUCAAUCUGCAGAUAGGAAAUAUUAAAUCUAAGACUAAAUAAAAUUUCAAUUUUAGCAAAAAUAUAACUUGUGAUGUUAUGCACAAAUCAAUGGUUUCUUUUAGAACUUCUAAAGUACUGGCCAGCAAGAGUCAGCUUUACCACCUUCAUUCCUUCUUCAAUUAUCACAGAGGUUUCAGAGGAUGAGGAUGACUCAACAGAAAUUACUCCAUCAGGGCCAAUCUUGUCUAUAGCUUCAGCAAUCAAGUUCCCAAUAAAUUCAUCAUUACCAGCAGAGAUUGAAGCCACAGCUGUGAAAAGAAUGAAGAGUUCCAAAUUAGCAAUUUUUCCCAAAAGCGUACAAUUCAUUGAGCAAAUCCAUAUGAAACAUAAUUGACAACCUUUUAUAUCCUCCCUCCCUUUCACUGGCAAACUUUUCUUCUUCAGGGCCUUGACCAAUUCUUUUACAGUCUUAUCCAUUCCCUUUUUCAGAGAAACAGGAUUAGCUCCAAAAGAAACUGCCAACAACCCAGACUUGAUCAUGGCUCGGGCUAAAAUGAUUGCAGUGGUAGUACCAUCACCAGCCAAAUCAUUCAUUUUACUUGCGACCUGCAUUCAGGCACAUAAAACUUACAUGUCUCUCCUUGUUUAUUUCCCAAAAUAAAUCAUACAAGCUUAGGGAGGAAGAUCUAGCAACCAUGAAUGACCUCUUGAAUUAGAGUUGCUCCUGCAUUCUCAAUUGUAUCGGAAAGCUCUAUAGCCCGAGCAAUGGUGACACCAUCAUUAACUACUUUCAGUGUCUCAGACUCACAAAGAACAACAUUGCGUCCUGUAUGGUUCACCCAAAAUGGAUUAGCAACUCAUAUUAAGUAUGCAGCACCGCCCAUAAUGAAACUGAAAUUCCACAUCCUUAAGAUAUAUCAUUUCUUCAAUUGGUUCUGCAUCAUAGGCAGUGUAAAGCAUGCCACGUCUUGUCUAAUGCCCAAAGGGCAUAAAGGCUUUACACUAAAGGAAGCAUUUUUAUAGGAUAUAUCAGACAAGUCCUCCGGUCAACAUUUGAUUUAAGAAAGAAUUACACAAAGAAAAAUAAUUGAGCCUUACAAGAAAGGUAAAAGAUUCUAUUCUUAAGCACCCUUUAACUAAAGCAUUCCCUCUGAUGAUGUAAUUACAACUUCCAAAAUCCUUGUAAUCCUGUUUGAACCUCUGCUCAGGAAGCAACUAUAACUCAACGAAAUUGAAAAGAAAGGCAGAGAGCACCCAAUUGAAGAAAAAGGCAAAAGCAAGAAGAGCCAAGUACCUCGAGGUCCCAGGGUGACAGAAACAGCAUCAGCCAGCUUAUCAAUCCCAGCUUGUAAUGCCUCUCUGCAAUCUCUCCCGAAAGAUAUCCUCUUUGGACCUGCUCUCACCACCAAACUCCCAACCAUCAGCGGUUUUCUCAACAGCCCACUUCCUCUUCUACUCCCAUCAAAGUUCUGCAACGGUUCCCACAUCAUCAUUGAACGUAAACAUGCGUAGAAGAAAGAACAGGCAUAAUUAGAGAGACAGAGGGACUUACAGUUACAGAGAAGAAAGGGAUUUGAGGGAUUAGAGAAAGUGAGAACGAGACAGACAUAUCCCUUCAGCCUUCAAAAAUGUUUCGUGGCUCUUCCUGGUUUCAUAAUUUAGUCUUGGAGCCUUGAGAGGCUUUAAAAGGGUUUAAGAAAUGGUAAACGCGACUCGGGCGAGUCCAGUAACCAGUACGGCGCCUAGUUAAAACGAUUCAUAAAUAUCGGGAAAGCCCCAUGGAAUAAUUAAAAUUAUAAUAGCAAGGGUCCUCGAAAAUAAAUUUAUAUUAGAAGAAUAAUUCUGCAAUACUGUGCAAAAACAUUACUUGGUAUGCAUUAUACUAAGUAUUGCCUUGUGCUGCCUCUCUCAUCAUCUUUUCGCUGCCAUCAUUUGGAUAAGGUAUUCGUUAUCUUUCAAAUAACGUAUUCUGAGUUUUAUUAUUUAAUAAGAUACUCGAACACUGUAUAAGCACGUAAUCUAUAUUUUGCUUUUUACCUCAACUUGUUUAAUCGUUAAUGAAGCAUCUUGUAAAAUGCUGACCAGCACCAUUUCCAUCACCAAAACCCAAAUUUGCCACAACAGUGAUAGAUAAAUCACUUCCAACCAAAGAUCAUUAUUACUUGAUCUAAGCUUUAAGAAAACAUGACACCCAAAUCAAAACCCAAACUAAGCGGGCAUGAAAGUAUAUGGUCUGAUAGAAACAUCAACAAGAAAGCUACAUUUCUCAACCAGUUGGCUUCCCGGAUGUAGCAAUUAUCCCUCUCUGCAUAGCAUCCCUCUCAGCAAAAUGGCCAGGGCAUCUGGUCAGUGCUUUGAAUCUUCUUCCUCACAGAACUUGGAGUAUUCUUCCGAGCCCAUCAAGUUCUUCAACUCCCCGGCGUCAUUCAUCUCAACCUUUAUAAUCCAUCCAUUCUCAUAAGGACUUGAGUUAACCUGAACAAAGAUUGCAGAUGGUAAGCAAGAGUGAAUAUUACUAAAAUGAUGCCCUAUACAGCUAUUAAAUGACAUAACAUCCAAAUGAUUGUUUAAGACUGUAGCUCAUUGCAAAUCGGUUGUCAUAUUGACCUCUGGUAGGUAGGUAAAGGUAGCUAAGCUCAGUAAACAAGUGAAAAAUGAAGAAUGGAGAUUUGGGGUGUCUGACCAAAGUUUUGGAUUGGAGCAAUUAACAGGAUGUUGGUUCUAACAUCCUCAAGAAAUGGAAAAAUGGAACUUAAGAGGCAUAGAUGUAUGGCAUAACAGAGGCAUUCUGGCAAAGACACAAAUAAUAAGGUGCAUGCUCACAAACACACACAUAAAGGAGGACACUUCAUGCGAUGCAAAUGAAAAACCAGUUCAGAAGGCACACUUGCCCAACUAGUAUAAUUGACUUAAAAAAAAAACAAGAAAAAAUUGAAAGAAAUAGUAUAGAAUAGGACACAAGUGCUAACCAAAGCAGGAGAGUUGCUGAGCUCUUCAUUAACUUCAACCACUUUUCCUGAAACUGGAGAAUUAACAUCACUGGUAGCCUUGACACUUUCAACUGCACCAAAACUGCCACCUUGCUUUACAGUAGCUCCCACUUCAGGUAAUUCAACAUACACAACAUCACCUAAAUGAUCUUGAGCAUGAUCAGUUAUACCAAUUGUGGCAGAGUUACCAUUAACCUUCACCCACUCAUGAGAAUCAGCAUAUUUUAGAUCGUUUAAAACUGCAGGAAUAUAGAAGAGAGGCAUUAGCUGCAGUAACAUGAACAACAACCUAUAACAAGGGAAAAUAGACCAAGUAGCAGCAACUCUAGACACAAAUAAAACUGCAAAUUGCAGCUGAUCAUGGGAAAUAAAUGUCCUUUUCAUAGAACAUACUUACAAUAAAUAUCAUAAUGAUAUUCAUCAUGUACUUAAACAAAAUUUCUCCAUUAAGGACUUGUGCUCUUAGAUGCUUUCUUGCUCUUAUCAACAAACAAUGAAUCAUCCUUCCAUAGAGAGCAAAGUUUGAAGUUAUGUCAUGGUGAACACAGUCACAUUCAGCUAAGGGUUUUCAAUUCCAGAUGUAAAGCUCAAUGAUACAGAUAAGUCACCACUGAACUAUAAAAUUCAGAAGUUCAUAACUUUAAGAUAACAGAUAAUAUACCCACCACAGGUUGAGGACAGAAGCAAAGAUCCAAGAAUAUCACUUGACUUUGUUUAACAACAGACAGAACCUGAUGGCUAUGGGAAUAGGUAUAGCAUGAUGAAUCAUUUAUAAAUGAGGGAUUGAUAAAUAAUCCAAUCUAUAUACGUUACACCCCAUUAAUCAGUUGCCAGCUACACCAACCCUUGCUCUCAGUUCUAUUUGUUGUGUUAAACCAGCAGCUGAUAUUAAGAAAAGUGAACUGCACAGAGGGAUGAAAGUGGUUAUCGGAAGUAGUGCAUACAAAGGUGCAUAUAAGUUUCAGUUGGUUGCCCUGCUAUUUCCUGGUUUUGUGAGAAUCUGUUUUUCAUCUCCAAAUAAGGGAAUGAUCGGGACAAUUUCUAACAUCAUUAUUCUCACGAGCAAUGCACCAUGCAUCAACCACCUGCACCAAUAUUUGCCAGCUGCCACUAUUCCCUCCACCACACUAACCGUCAUCACCAACUGACUCCCCUCACUCCUAAUACUCUAGUGCCAAGUAUUAAACGUGUUUCUAACUCUACAAAUGCUCUAUAGAGAACAAAAAUGAAUGCUUUAGGCCCCUUUCUUAAUCUCUAAUACGUUUUCUAAAAUCAAAAUUGAAAGAAAAAGUGUAAUAACCCCGAAUCAAUGACUACACCAGAUUGAUCAGGAACGAAAUCCUAGAUUAGGCAAAUUUGGGGAGACAUAUAUCUAUAAUAAAACAGAAAUCUAAAAACUCUAACACUAUGCAUUAGCAUAAGAGAAGAACAACCCAGUCAAAUAAAAAAUCAAAUCGUUUUUCCGUACAGGUAAAAUCUUCGAUCAAUCACAGAAGUGAGAUCCUAAUUUCCAUCAACACCCAGAAAACCGCUUUCCCGUAUCAGCAUCCUUAUGAUCAUUACACAAACAUAAGAAACCAUGAAAGCAAUAAAAAGAAGACAGACAUAGAGAGCGAGAAGAAAAGUUAAGUGGGGGUAAAUGGCUUACCGGUAGAAAACCCUCUAUGGAACAUAGAGAUCCUGAGGUAAGAAGCCGCCCUUGAAGCCCACAACAUUCUUGAAGCCAUUCUAAUGUAAAUCUCAAACAGCAACGAACCCUCAACUCUAGCAGAUUUGUACUUGUACGUGUUGUGUGGUUGUAGUGUUAUGUUUCAACACAAACUGCAAGCUGCUUCUCUCCUAAGUGGGUGCAACUAUAGAGUAUUGUUUUGUUUUGCUUUUAUUGUUAUUAUUAUUAUCAUUAUUUUAUAGAGUACAUAUUUUGGUGGGGGGGUUGGUGGGUGUAUUUUCUUUUAAUUUUUAUUUUAGUUUUUCUUUAUAUCAUUGGGUAAGGCCGUGACUAUUGUAACUCUAGUUUACAUGAGAAACAAAUAUUGGCAAUAUGUUAGGCAAUAAAUAAGGAACAGUGGGAUCUUUGAGGAAAAGUGGAAGCAAAGAAAGGGCAUAGAUGGUUAGCGGGUCAAUGUGUCAACAAGCCCACUUGUCUUGUUGGGAGGUCGGUAGGAGCUGCCUCUGCCCUCGGCUCAUUGGAUGCCUUCUGCCUCACCCUUGUCACUUCUCCUGCUGAUUUAUGCUUUCGUUCAAUAUUUAGUAAGAUUAUGAGGAAUGUUCACUCGAUCAAUUCAAUCGACUGAAUUCAUUAGGAAUGUACAGGAAUGUGUAUUCCAUCAAUCAUCGAUUUGAUCAAUUGUACUUAUUAACAAUGUGUAGAGAUCUAUUGAUUGAAUUUAUUAGGAAUGUGUAUUAAGUCAAUCAUCAAUUCGAUGAUCUAUUGAGCUUAUCAACUUGAACGAUUGAACUUAUUAAGAAUGUACAAGGAUCAAUCCAUUGAAUUUAUCAUCAAUGUAUUCGAUCAAUCAUCCAUUCGAUGGAUUGAACUUUUCAAGAAUGUGCAUAUAAGCAGCAACAUGUCCUGAUAAUUCUACCAAUCAUAAAAACAUUUUCUUUCUAUUGUAGCAGCAAUUCACAAAGUAGAAAUUGAGAACAUCAAUUUUAUUGCCAAAUCAACCUGCAUGGACCAUGAAAACAUCCCAACUUUUGCUUCUCAAAUGAUACUUUUGAUCAGUAUAUUGUGAGUAAGGAUUAACUUAAAGAACAUGCUAACUUGGCCAACUGACCAAACAAAAUCUUACAAUCAUGUAACAAAUGAGACCUUAAAACCAUUUUCUUCCUUUGAUUUCUUGAACAAGGUUUCAUCAAAUCAAGCCGUUCUCUGGAAUAAUACUUCCCUUCCUGGAAAACAAGACAAAGGAGCGAAAAAAUCACCAUCCAGCAAUUGAAAAUAUAGCAUAGACAGCAUGGACAUUUCCUCUUGACAACUCAAGUAAAACCAUCAAAUAGACACGCAAAAUGGAAAAGGAAGAAAAUUGAGAGAUUAAGUCUUUCAAAUCACUAAACGAACAACAGAUAUUAAUUGCAUAAAUGAAGCUGCCUAUUGUCUUAAGCCUCAACAUUUUCUUGAUCUAGUGCCUUAGUACACAAGAGAGUCAAGUAAGUAAUGAAGGAAGACUUUGCUGAUCACAUAGGCAAGUGCAUUUCGAACCGAGAGCAGCUUGUUAAAGUAUAGAUAUAAAUUAUAUUGCAAGGCGAUCAAUGGUUAUGAAAGUAAGAUAGCAUAAUCUUAGUAUACAAAGAUCAUAUCAUCGUACUAAUGUCUCGUAGGCAGCCAUCUAAAAGCUUUCAGAUUUCUACAUUAACCCAGAAUUCAGACUGGUUUUUUGGCUGUCCUGGUAUGUCCUACUUCAAAUGUACUUAUAUCACCAGUUCUAAUUCCAACACGACGAACACUUGCUUUCAACAUUCAAGCUCCUACUCAACCAUGACAAUCUAAUGUAAAACAAAAUGUGUUUUUUCCUCAUACCUUAGUACAAAGAAUGUACUAAUGUCUUGCUGGCAGCCAUCCAAAAACUUUCAGAUUUCUAUAUAAACCAGGAAUUUCAGACAGGUUUCUUUGGCUGCUCUGGUAUGUCCUACUUCGAGUGUACUUAUAUCACCAAAUUGAAUUCCGACACAAUGGACACUUGCUUUCAACAUUCAAGCCCCUAGUCAACCAUGACAAGCUAAUGUAAAAGGGAGAAACUUGGGAGAUGUAAUUUCUUCAUUCCAAACAACAGAACAGAAAUCAUAAACAAAAUUUUUACUCUGAUUAUCAUGCUCAUACGUCCCAUAUACACCUUAAAACCAACCUCAACCAAAAUCAACAACAUUUCAUUUUACCGGGAAGAUUAACUAAUUAAGACCAAUUAAGAAUAAUUACGCAGCAAAAUCUUACCGAACUGGGAUUGUAGAUUUCAGGGUGGGGCAAAUGCAGGGGUCAGACAUUUACUUCUUGCCCUUCCUUUUUGCAGGUUCUUGUUUGGUUCUCAAAUGUUUCCUUUUCCGAGUCAAAGCAAACUCUCCAAACUUAUGACCAACUUUGCCUUCGGUAAUCUUGCAACGAACAAAAGUUUUCCCGUUGUAAAUCCGAACGGUCUGAUUCACGAAUUCGGGCAAAAUCGUAGAUCUACGCGACCAAAUUUUCCGAUUGGCUAAAAGAUCUUUGUUCUUCUUAAUUUUUGACAAAAAUGCAUCCACAAAAGGAAGCCUUGCUGAUCGUUGUCGCGUAUUCGACGAAACUGAAACGAAAAUUCCCAUCUUUAAUUUAAAUUAAUAAAAAAAAUUUAGAAAAAAGAAAAAAAGAGUGGAAUCGAAUGAGAAUGAUAAUACCUGAGGAUGAGGAGCAGAAAGUUCUGGAAAAUUGAGAGAAGAUCGUCAAGGCAUUGAGGUUUUCCGGUGUGCUGGAAAUUGAAAGAUCGGUUUUUGGAAUCAAAGUUGAGGUACUUUUCAGAGGAAAAGAAGAAGAAGAAGUCGAUUGGAGGUUGAAAGCUUGGCGGAGAACGAAGAAUUUCCCUCUCAUUUUCCUUUCCUUUCCUUUUCUUUCUUUCCCUUCGAUUGUCUACUUUCCGACUCUCUUUCUCAGUGAGUUUUCGGGGGUAGGGUUUUUUCGCCCUUUGAAAGGGGUUUGGGGCCCGAAAAGAAUUAUGGCCCAAAACAAAUAGCUUAAAGGCCUAGAAAACUACUAUAGAUUACAGCCCAUCUAAAUAUUAAUGGGCUUUGACUCAAACAUUUAGCUGGGAUUUGAGCCCAGAGAUGGGUUCACCAUAGCUAUCCAAAUCCAAUAGCCAAGUUCUGGUGUAAUAGAUUUGGACUGACCUAACCAAAUAAAGCACAGUAGCAUUGUUAUAAUGCCAUUUGCAACUAAAAAAAUACAUUUAUCAAGUGGAGAAAAAUUUGUAUUUAUAAGUUUAAGAAUUAUAUCAUAACUUAUUAACCUGGGACACAUGACACUUUACUCUACUUAUCGUGCACCAUCCUCAUUACAUUAACUCUAUUACUCAUAAUAACACUAAAAUUUAAUUUUAAAAUCUUUACCCAUACCUCACCGUACUCGCACCAUUUCAUCUAGUCUCAAUAGCAUGAUGCUACCACUAUGUAGGUGUUAUAUGCUAAGUUUGUAACUUGGUUUCAAUCGGGGUGUUCUGAGCUGAAAUCCGAAUAAGAGAGACAUUUAGGACCAGAGAGGCCCAACCACCAUCUUGGGAUGCAAUGGAUUUGAGAUCAUUGAUCUCAAAAGUGACAUUCGUGCAUGACAUUACGGCAAAUCAAAAGUGAACAGUGAAUUUAAAACCGAAGAUAUCCACAUUGAGCUGGCAGGCAAAAAAACACUCUGGUGGUCUGAAGUGGGCAUUCUAUGCUGCCGAGGCAGUCGAACGAGGGAAGCCUUCUCUCUUUGGGGAUUUGGGACUGAGCUGUUGAUCUCUUCAUAAGAAAGGAACCACGGUUUUUUUGUUAUCUUCUAUAGGGCGGGGUUUAUUGUAUAUUCUUUACCUAUUGGUCCUGUGUUUAUUUUUUGAGGGACAUAUGUUGUACCUUUUUCUUUAAUUUCUAAGUGCUAUUUUUGUAAAUCUUCACAAGAGGAUGCAUCGUCAAGUGCUUUCAGGAGUGUACCAGUUCAAUAAUUUGAACUGUGAGUUUUUUUAUAGCUACUUAAUUAACACAAAUGGACUUUGUUUGAGCGAAAAAAAAUUCUGUAGCAGUCCCUCUGGCCCUCCACCAAUGGGAGCAGUCCCAAAAACACUAGCUGUUUCAAAGCGGGGUCAAUAUGAAGCUGCAUAUCUUAAUUAACAUCCUAUAAAUCGAGAGGUCAUUGCAAUUAGGUACCAAAAAGCAAAGAAUAAAAAUGAAUAAAGGAUAAAAUUUAAAAAAGUAGUCAAGGGACGAACAAAUGGUAAGGAAACAUGAACGAUACGUUUAGUUCGUGAAAUAAAUAAGAAUAAAAUAAAAUAAUUAUUAUAUGAGAAUAAAAUAAAGUAAGAAUAGAAUAAAAUAGUUAUUACGUAAUUUAAUAUAACGAAUGGAAUAGGGUAAGAAUAGUUAUUAUAACUUAUUACAGUGUUUGAUUGGUAAAAGUAAUUUUAAAAUAAAAAAUAAAAAAAUACCCUUUAUUGUAUAUGUGAUUAUUUAUUUUUUAUCUUAUUUUUUUGAAAAUCAAUAUUUUAUAAUUUAUUUAAAAUAUUAAUAAUUGAUAAUUUAAAUAGUAAUAUAUUCUUUAUAAUUUAAUCAUUAAUACUAUAUAGUAUUAUUAUUUUAUUUAUAAUUUAUUUAAAAUAUUAAUAAUUGAUCAUUUAAAUAUUAAUAUUUUAUUUACAAAUAUUAAUAUAGGUAAAGUUGUAAAUUGCUAAACUUAUGAGAAGUAAUUUAGUUUUAACAAAUUUUGAAGCUAUUCCACGAGACAUGAAAUAGCAAUACCAAGAGAAGAGUUGGGUGCAGUUAAAGAGGAGCUUUAACUAAUUUUGAGAAAUAGGUAAAAUGAGAGAAUGGCUAUUUCUUGCUUAAUUGGCAACCCAAAAAGAGUAAAUAAUAACUAGGAAUGACUAUUUCCCAUGCCAAACAUGGAGGAAAAGUUUGGUGUACGUCAAGUGGUGGUUGGGAUGUAAGCUGGGUGACCCCGGCACAAAUUCUUACGGGGCACGGAACGGAAUUAAUUAAAGCGUGGAAUAUGGGUAUCUUACGCAUUAUUUGAUCCUCGUCGUUAUGUAAAAAGGGAAUAGUCUUUGGAGAAGAUGUUUGAGACAGUGAACACUGAUUUGAUAUAUUUCAUAAAGUUAAGGGUAAGGAUCGUGUGGUGGAACAAAGCCCAAUGUGUUGAUGCAUAUCAACUCAUCACUGAUAUCUUGCGAAGUCCAAGUUUAGCGGUGAAACCUCAAAGCGGCAAGGCGUCAAAGAAAUCCUGUGUGUGGAUGUACCUAUUAAAGUUCUCUCACGGUUGGUGAUUAACAGAAGCAAAAGCUAGAUAAUAAGCCUUUGGUCAAUUUCAAUCAAUGAAAUAUUUUAAUGGAAAUUUUUUGGAAGAUCUAGUUCAUCAUCAUCUUCCCCUUUCAAAGUUGUCCACACCAUCUUUGCAAAAUCUAACAAAAUUGAAAUUGUGAGAUUUGAAAUGGUGCUUUGAACAACUUUCAAAGUGUAAGGAUGCAACAAGAUGAUAAAACUUAGUUUAACCCUCGGUAUUCCACACCUAAAGGAAGAUGAUUAACAGAAGAAAAAGCCAGAAAUAAUAAUAAGCCUUUGGUCAAUUUCAAUAUCAAUGUGAUUUUUAUGGAAAAAUAUUUUGGCAGAUGAUGAACUAGACGUCUAGUUCAUCAUCACGCCCUUUCAAAGUUGUCCACACCAUCUUUGAAAUUGUGAGAUUAUUGUGAAAUGAUGCAGUGGACAACUUUGAAAGGGCAAGGAUUGAACAAGAUGAUAAACUUCGGUUCACUCGUGGUAGUCCACAGCUAAAGCAAGAUGAUAAACAGAAGAAACAUACUUUAGAUCAUGCCUGGAUCGGACUUACAUAUUCAAACCCAUGUUUGAAUUUAUCUUUUCCAUUAUUCAGUCAAGGGUGAACUCAACAAGCCUUGGUGUUUUUAGUCCAAGUUAUUGACUUCAUAUGAUAAGAAAGUAAAUUGGGAGGCAUAUAAUGUUCCAAACCUAGAAAAAAAAGACACCCCAGAAAACAAAAAGCCAACCCUCCAAACCGUUAUUAUAUCCCAAAACCAAAGCAGACAUCAUACAAAACAUCAACUCAACAGAAUCAAAGAAAACAUCAUAAAAAGCAAAAUGAUUCUUCAAAGCUUAUCAACAAUCCAAACAAUACAGCAAUGGCCCUUAACACCACAAACUGGGGAGUAUAGUGGAAAAAGAAAUUCUAAAAUAGGUUAAUUAAUCAUAAACAUCUACCAUUCAUUAUAAUAAUAAUAAUAACAAUAAUUAAGAAAAUUUUUUUGAAAGAUGAUGAAGUAGACGUCUAGUUCAUCAUCAUGCCCUUUCAAAGUUGUUCACAGCAUCUUUGAAAUUGUGAGGUAGUGAAUGACGCUGUGGACAACUUAAUUUGAAAGGGCAAGGAUGCAACAAGAUGAUAAACUUAGGUUCACCCUCAGUAGUCCACAGCUAAAGCAAGCAGAAGAAACAUAUUUUAGAUCAUGACUGGACUUACAUAUAUUUUUUUUUUUCCUAUUUCUAGACGAACUGCCUUACUUCAAUUCUGUAAAAAUUCUCAUUAUCUUCUUUGGAAAGAGUGAUCGUGGCAUUCAGUCUGGAUGCAGCAAAACGCUUCCAUUGAUCUCCAUAGAUGGAGAAAUCGUUAGAUCCUUCCUUCUUGCAAAAAAACUCCCAUGUUUCUCCUAGACCACCCCUCACCCCCAAAAUUGUAUCACCAGCAGGCAGUGCUUGCCCAUCAUAAUGAAACCUCAACUUUCUCUCGUGAUAUUUUGCAAGAUUGAUUUCGAAGAUCCUCGCCAUGUCUGCUCCGCAAAUAGAAAUAGAUUAAUGAAGAUGAUGCUAAUUUGAGAGGGAGAAGUGUGGUGUGCCUUGAUGCCAAGGAAGGAACGUGGGGGGUAUAUGUAGUACUUGUUGGAUGCUAAAACAUUAGGCCUUAAUUACUUGGAAGAGUAUAAGUGUCAUUUAUUUGACUAACAAUAGCGGUGGAUCCGACUGUUCUUUUACUUGUGGGAUUGUGGUGUAGAAGUAUAAGUUUGAUGCAUACUUUAAGAUUGAAAGUGUUGCCCAAUAUUUGUCUUUGUAGAGUAGUAGUAUUAAUCACCUCAUUUUGUAUUCGAGCGUAAAAUAUGUGCAUGUGGCUGAAAGGAACAUGCAGGCCCUUUGAGCUGUCAAAAGAAUAUUACAAACGAAGAGGAGAAGGAAAAUGCCAUUUCCAUCAUUCAAAUUGAACCUUCGCUUUCUUAUUUGUUGUAUUGGCCUUUCGCUUUCUUAUUUUGGCCUGGGUGGGAUCCUGAGAGAGACAUUUUCCAAAAUCUCAAAUUGUUUCAUGUUCUAGGUGCCUCAAGCCUGAAGCAAGUUUUCUUUUCCUCACUCUCAGAUCCACGUCAGGCAGCAAUUAUUAGACUCCUUCGGAAAGGUCUGGAUACGUGAAGAAAUAUGAAGAAAUGAUUAUAUAGCUCGACUCAUGAUCCCUUUAACUUUGUGAAAGAUAGUACGAAGUCCAUCUAUUCCUCAAAGAUAUCGUUCACAGAAAGAAAAGUAGUACAUCCGUUUAAAGAUAAGUCGGCAAUUAAAAUUUUCUUUUAAAGAGCAGAGAAAAGGAAUUCAUUAAAAUAAGGGAGCAGGAAAACCCUUUGUGAGAACACAGGCCACGGAACAUGAGCUCAAAAAACAGACGAUAUUGGUCAAUAUACCUCCCGUAUGACUGGGCAUAUUUUACCAAUAGCCCCUAUAAUGGACCCAAGAUCAGGAAGUCGGUAAUUAAAUUAAAGUAUCGACCUAAAAAAAUCUAUAUUAAUUUAAUGCUCCUCCAUUUAUAGAGAAUACGGAAAUUAAAUUUGCAGACAGCUAAUUAAUAUGAUUAUGAUAUGAUAUCAACUUAGCUAGGGAUCAGAUAAAAUUUUAAGUCACAUUAUUAAAUAACUACUCUUUACUUUAUUUUGGUGGGUUUCAGAAUGCUGAAACUAUUACUAUAAGGCAAUCCAUGUACCGGCGGAAGCGGAUUACGUGAAAAUAAUGCGGAUGGAAAAGAUGAAGAUAAUCAUGCUGAAUUUACAGUAUUCUUGGGCUUUUUCUUUUAUUUUCUUGACUUUUAUCGAUAUUCCACAUGCAAAUAGAAUUCCACAUGGUCUCCACCUUCUCUUACUAAAGAUGACUUCUUUCCUGGCCGGAAGUGUCCUUAUGGCCGAAAAACUAACACUUUAUUUCUACGGCUUUAGUUCCCCUAUUUUACCCGAAUUCUAACACCAACUUUUAAUUUUUAUGAAUUGCAAAUUACUUUCUAACCUGCUUUGGAGUAAUUAAUGAUAAAUUAUUGUUAUUUUUUAGUUCAAUAAAGAAAGAGAUAUUCAAAUGCUUAACGUUUACUUCUAUACUAAAAAAAUAACUGCACCGUUUUUGUUAUUUGCGGGAUCUGAAUUUUGACUUCUCUAUUUGUAUCUUGCUGCAAGUUGAUUCUUUGUUUAUUUCCAUGUUGCUUUCCUGCUCAAGCUUUUGAUAUUGGUGUGCUUCUUUAAUCAAAAAACUUUAGAUUCAAUUAAUCAGACGAUUAAAUAAAAUAAAGAAACUUUCGUCAAUCUUGAUAGGGAAAGUGACAGUAUAGUGUCAAUUCAAACUACUUCUUAUCGGCGUACUAUUUAAAAAGAAUUCUUAAAUUUUAAAAAAAAAUUAAAUAUAUCUUUAUAUAUUUAUUAUGUUUAAUUAAAUUCGUAUAUUUUUAUUUUAAAUUAAAUAAAUUUUUAUAUUUUUAUCUUGAAUCAAAUAAUCGCAUUAGGUGAGACAGAACCCUAAUUGUAACUUGAUCUGCAUUGUUUGAAGGUAACAACCAUAAGAAAACAUACACAUUCAACAUAACUAGGUCCUGAAACCAGCCCAUUACAGCCAGACCUUAUGGUUAUUGAAUACCCUUUUUUAUUUAGUAAUAAUUAAAGUAAUUAGAUAAUUUUUAAAUCAACUAUUUGGGUGUUCUAAGCUGAAAUCCAAAUAAGAGAGACAUUCAGGACCCACAAAGGCCAAAGUACUAUAUUGGGAUGUGAUAGAUUUGAGGUCAUUGAUCUCAAAAGUGAAAUUCAUGCAUGACAUUACUUCAAAUCAAAAGUGAACAGUGAAUUUAAAAACCGAAUGGUGUCCACAUUCAGCAAGCAGGAAGGCAACAAAACACUCCAGUGGCCUACUACUCUUCUAAAGUGGGCAUCAUUUGAUGCCGAGGAAGUCGAACGAGGGAAGCCUUCUCUCCAUUGGGACCGCGCUGUUGAUCUCUUCAUGAGAAAGGAUCCACGCACGUCUUUUUCUUAUUUUCUAGAGGGCUGGGUUUAUUGAAUAUUCUUUACCUAUUGCUCCUGUGUUUAUUGUUUCAGGGACAUGUUGUUCCUUUCUAUUUAAUUUCUAAGUGCCAUUAUUUCUGUAAAUCUUCACUAAAGGAUGCAUCAUCAAGUGCUUUCAGUAGUGUACCAGUUCAAUAAUUUGAACUGUGAGACUUUUUAUAGCUACUUAAGUAAUACAAUGGACUUCAUUUGAGUAAAAAAAAAAAUUGUGUUAUUAGUAGUCCCUCUGGCUCUCGCCAAUGGAAGCUAUUCCAAAAACUCUAAGGUUAUGUUUAAUUGACGGAAUAAAUAGAAAUGAAAUAAAAUAGUUAUUAUAUGAUAAUAAAAUAAAGUAAAAAUAUCAUAGUUAUUAUUUAGUUUGGUAAAACGGACGAAAUAUGAUAAGAAUAAUUAUUAUGAUUUAUUACAACGUUUGGUUGGUAUCAAUAAUUUUAAAAUAAAAAAAAUAAAAAAAUCUUUUAUUAUAUAUAUGAUUAUUUAUUUUUAUUUAAUUUUUAAAAUAUUAAUAAUUUAUAAUUUAAGUAAAAUAUUAAUAAUAAAAAUAUUAAUAAUUAAUAAUUUAAAUAUUAAUAUUUUAUUUAUAAUUUAAUCAUUAAUGUUUUAUUAGAAAUUAAAAUCAAAGGAGAGAAGGAGGAGAGAGAGAGAGAAAAAUAUUGUAUACCAAUAGCGUUGUAAUUUUUUAAAUUUAUAAAAAAUAUUUUGAUUUUUAUUAUUUUUUAAAUUUAUUUUACAAUCAUGAAAUAAUUAAUAUCAUGAAAAAAGAUGAUAUUAACUAUUUUUAAAUUUUAAAAGAUUUUAAAAAAUAACUAUUUUUAUAAACAUGAUUAUUCCUUAUGCUAUUUCGAGGUCAAAUAAGAAAAUAAAAAUUUCUUAAGAAUAAAGAGGGAAUGCUCCAAACGUGCCAUAGCUGUCUCAAAGCGGCGUCAAUAUGAAGCUGCACACCUCAACAUCCUACAAAUCGAGAGAUCAUUCCAGUUAGGUAGCAAAAAGCAAAGAAUAAAAACGAGUACAAGACAACAAAAAAUAGUAAAGAGACAACCAAAUGGCAAGGAAAUUUUGAAAAGUUCGCUGUACGUGAUGUGAUAGCUGGGAUGUAAGAUGGGUGACACCUGAAGCGGCGCAAAAUUUCUUCUCGGUAUGGUGUGGCAAUGACGUGUCGAGGGAAAGAAUCAAAGCGUGGAAGUGGGUUUCUUUAUUAUUAUUUGGUCUGGUGGGUAUGUAGAAACGAGAAAAAGUUUGAGAAAGUUAGCAAGUAUUUGAUAUAUCAUAAAGUUAAAGCUCGAGUGGUGGCACAAAGUCAAAUGUGUCAAUGCAUAUUACUGUUCACGGAUAUCUUGCAAAGUCCAAGUUUACCAAUGAAAUCACAAAGAAGCAAGGUGUCCAAGAAAUGCUUCAUGUGGAUGUGGUCACUAAGGGACACUCAAAUUUGAUGUUGAGAAUUCGUCAAAAGGUAAAUAGGGUAAAUUAAAUAUUGAUGGUAAUCUAAAAUCGAGAAAGAUAUAAUUACAAUUAUAUUGUUUAAAACUAUUGAUAUUUUGGAUUUUAAUAUUACAUAAUUAUCAGCUAUUAAAGAGACGUUUAUUGUCGGUCACCUUUAAAUUGGCAGACACUCAAAAUACCAUUAUUUGCAUAUAAUCUCCUAUACUAGAGUAGGGCGCCCACCCAUCGAGAAAUCAAAAUUAUAUUCAUUGAUCAUAGUAUUUGGUACAGUGCUAGGGAUAGAUAGAGAUUAGAUUAAAAAAGAAUAACCCAAGUAUAGAAAGAAUAUCUCAUUGGGAACUGAGUGGCUUAUUAACGUGUCAUAUGUUGUCUUGGACCCACAGGUGAUACAAUUUGGUAUACGUGUCCCCUUGGACCCAAAAGCGAUACUCUGGACACGCCUGGAUGGAAGGUAUUUGAUUUUCAUAUCAUGUGUCAAAACUUUUUGGCUUUUUGUGUAUUGAUGGUCGAGUCGCAUUGAAUAUGCAUUAAGCUCUUCUUUUUUAAUUUAAAAAAAAAAGGCAAUUAGCAUCAUCAAGGUCAUUGUCCUUCACCAAUUCACCUCAUGAUAAAUUGACAACUCAUGCUUCAUAAAUAUUGAUAUCCAAUGGAUUAUACAUAUUUCAAUAACAUAGGGGACAAAGAUCUCUUAUAAUUACAGUAUUAUCUCAUAUAUAUAAACUUGAAGCUAGAGUUAGGCAGCUCUUUCCACCUACCAUAAAAGAUUAAAAGGGUUGCAAGAUGUGUCACUAAAAUAUCCAUCUGCUCACAGCUACAACCAGCAGAUCAUGAAGGCAUAGCAAACUCUCAACAACUCUUGAGCCAUUAGCUCUCUUCUCAUACUUGAGGAAUGUGACAGCAGUGACACCAGGAGUGGUCCAUCAAAUGCCAUUUUUAAUCACCUAACAUACCCAACCAUUUACUAAAUCAACUAUGUAUGCACCCACCGUAUACAGCAAGCUAUCAUCGGUUUUUAGUUAUUAGCAAACAAGUGACAACAAUUCAAGUCCAGAUGGGAAUCAAUUUGGCAACAUAAAAAGCAUAGUGACUUAAUAUUUUGACAUAGUUUGGGAUAGAUAUGCUGCCCAGAGCUAGAAGCAUCCAAAUCUAAUUCUUUAAUUCUCCAAUAGAUUCAUGAGCUUGAGAUUUCAAAAAGUAUAACAGCUUUGGCAUUAACUAAUGGCAACUACUUUCUAGUAUGGGAUCAUCUUUAAUGGCAAGCAAAUUCUCAAUACUAAGGGUACAUUGAAUGAGGAGACAGACAAUGAAAAUCAUAUCCACCACAAAGGGAUCAAUAAUCAUUAAACUAACUAAACAAUCAAAAUGCAAUUUGGACAUGUUAAUUUUACUUUAUUCACAUUUUGAAAAUUUACAACUAAAAAUAUUUUAAUUUUAUAUUUAUCUCUUAUAAAACUAUAUUUAUAUUAAAAUUUUAAACUUAUCUGUGAUUCGUCAAAACUACAUUUGAAAAGAAAACAAAAAAGUCUCGAAGUCAUUUUUGUUUUGUCUUCUUCGUGGGAAAAGGGGGGAGGGCGACAAAAACUAAACUUUCAACAUUUCAUAGUUUCAAAGUUUCAUAAUAAUAUGAUGGGAAUUUGGUUUUUUGUGACGUGAUGGCAUGCCUAACAGAAGCAUCAACCAAAUAGAGAGUUACAGCAAAGCCUGUUGUUUUAAUAAUUAAUUUUCAUUGGACGUGUGAUUGUCAUUUAUAUACAACUAUAGUAUUGAAAGAGGCAGAUCGAUCCACCAUCGUCAUUGGACAGCAUGUCCAAUCCGAUUGACUUUUGACUUAUGAAAUGGCCAAAGUUACCUGUCUCAUCGCUCUUGUCUUCUUAUUUUCCUACUUCCAAGUUAAGGUCCAACAAAAUAACUCGGUUUUGGCUCCACGUCAACAAUGAUGUCGCUCCACGUCGAUGCUGCCGAUGCAGGAAAUGUGCUCGUGUCAGGUGCCGAGUCUUAAACUGAACCUGCGAGUCGUGUCUCGAGCCGUGACACUUGCAUACGCCCUUUUGUGCACACCACUUCUACAAAUGGUGGGGGUGUGUUAUACAUGCAGUGGACCAUAUGUGCACCGCUAAAGCACAAGGGCCUUUAGCCUUGGGUCCACGACAACAGUCCCUUCACAUGUUGACGUACGCAACGGGUUCGAAGGCAGGGAUAUUGUAAGCGAUUCUCUUUCUUUUUGUCUUUUGAUAAGCCAUUAGAUUAUUAAUAUUUCAAAAUUAGAUACCAAAGUGGAGAUCUCUUCACAGAAAAGAAACCCCAAGUUAGACUAGUUGUCAGCCAUUCCUGCUGCGAGAUUGCAGGUACGCUGGAUUGCUUUGUGUAUGGCUAGAUGAGAUUUUGUCGGGAUUAUAAAUGGUGGUUUCCUUUUUGUAGUGGAACGAUUUAGGAUGUUUUGUGCAAGGGUGGGCCCGAGCGUGACUUUCAGUACAGGUUAUAGAUUAGUAGCCAGACUUCUGUUCCUAUUGAAGGAUCCGAAAUUUGGAGCAACUCCCAUAUUUAACGAAACCUACUAAAGCUUAUAAAAAAACAUACCUAUAGUUUUGAUAGGUAUUUAAUUUAACCCAAAGAGCAUGUUGGCCAAAAUGAUAGGUAUUAGAGUAACAUUCCUAGUUAGUAUCCAUAAGAAAGACAUUUAGGGCUCACAACGGUCCAAAUAAUCUGUCAUCUCAACAGUGACAUCCGUGCGUGACAGUACGUCAUAUCAAAAGUGAACGGUGAAUCAACAAAACACCCCAGUGGUCUAAAGUGGGCAUCAUUUGUGGCCGAGGCAGUCGAAUGAGGGAAGCCUUCUCUCCAUUGGGACUGAGCUGUUGAUCUCUUGGUAGGAAAGGAUCCACAGUUUUUUUGUUAUCUUCUAUAGGGCUGGGGUUAUUGUAUAUUCUUUACCUAUUGCUCCUUGUAUAUAUUUUUUGAGGGACAAUUUGUACCUUUUUCUUUAAUUUAUAAUUGCUAUUAUUUCUGCAAAUCUUGACUAGAGGAUGCAUCAUCAAGUGCUUUCAGGAGUGUACCAGUUCCAUAAUUUGAACUGUGAGACUUUUUAUAGCUACUUAAAUAACACAAUGGGCUUUGUUUGAGUAGAGUCCUUCUGGCCCUUGCCAUUGGGAGCUGUCCCCAAAAACUCUAGCUGUUUCAAAGCGGAGUCAAUAUGAAGCUGCACAUCUUAACAUCCUAUAAAUCGAGAGGUCAUUGCAGUUAGGCACCAAAAGGCAAAGAAUAAAAACGAGUAAAAGAUAAAAAUAAAAAAAGUAGUAAAGAGACAAACAAAUGGUAAGGGAACACGAAAAGUUUGGUGUGCAUGGUGUGAUGGUUGGGAUGUAAGAUGGGUGGCCCCUAAGGAGGCACACAAUUUCUUUUCGAUAUGGUGGGGCAAUGAUGUUUCGAGUGACAGAAUCAAAGCGUGGAAGAUGGGUUUCUUUGUUAUUUUUUGGUCUUGUGGUUAUGUAGAAAUGGAAUAGUCUUUCCACACAAAAAUUUGAGACUGAGCAAGCAUUUGACAUAUAUCAUAAAAUUAAGGAUCGUGUGGUGGCGCAAAGUCAAAUUUGUCAAUGCAAAUUACUUUUCACGGAUAUCUUGCAAAGUCCAAGUUUAGUAGUGAAACCUCAAAGAGGCAAGGUGUCAAAGAAAUACUCUGUGUGGAUGUGCCCAUCAAGGGUCUCAAAUUCAUCGUCGACGAUUUGUCAAAAGGUAAAUAGGGUAAAGCAAGUAUUAAUGGCAAUCUACGAAACGAGAUAGAUAUGAUUACGAUUAUAUUUUUCUAAAACUAUUGGUAUUUUGGAUUCUAACGUCACAAAAUUAUCAGCUAUUAAAGAGACGUUUAUUGUCUGUCACCUCCAAAUUGGCAGGCACUCAAUGUGUACCAUUGCUUGCAUAUGAUCUCCUAUAGUAGAGUAGGGCGCCCACCGAUCGAGAAAACAAACUUAUAUGCAGUGACCAUAGCAUUUGGUACAGUGCUAGGGAUAGAUAGAGAUUAGAUGAAAAAGCUUAACCCUAGUAUAGAAAGAAAAUCUCAUUGGGAACUGAGUGGUUUAUUAACAAGUCAUAUGUAGUCUUGGACCCACAUGUCAUUCAAUUUGGUGUACAUAUGCCUUUGGACCCAAAAGCAAUAAUCUGGACACACCUGGAUGGAAGGUAUUUGAUUUUCAUAUCAUGUGUCAAAACUUUUUGGCUUUUUGUGUAUUGAUGGCUGAGUCGCAUUGAAUAUGCAUUAAGCUUUUUCUUUUUAAUGUUUUUUAAAGGCAAAUAACAUGAUGAAGGUCACUGUCCUUCACCAGUUUCACCUCAUGAUAAAUUGACUACUCUUGCUUCACAGAUACUCAUAUUCUAAUAAGCAUGGAUUCUACAUAUUUCAAUAACAUAUAUAGGGGACAAAGAUGUCUUAUAUUUACAGUAUAUUAUCUCAUAUAUAUAUAUAUAAACUUGAAGCUAGAGUUAGGCAGCUCUUUCUACCUACUACACAAGAUUAAAAGGGGUGGAAGAUGUGUCACUAAUAUAUCAAUCUGCUCACAGCUACAACCAGCAGAUCAUAAAGGCAUAGCUAGCAAACCCUCAACAACUCUCGAGCCAUUAGCUCUCUUCUCAUACUUGAGGAAUGUGACAGCAGCGACAUCAGAAGUGGUCCAUCAAAUGCCAUUUUUAAUCACUUACUGUAGACACAUAAAUUAAAAAAAAAAUAAAUAAAUAAAAAAAAUAAAAAAAUAAAAAAAAUAAAAAAAUAAAAAAAAUCGGGAUGGCUGGGGCGUACGCCCAGCCAUCCCGUCGCCGUCCCAUCCCCCACCCACUACGCGGGAUGGGGGGUUCUGGCCACCAACUCCAGGGGUGCCAGAACCCCCUCGCCGGGUUGUCCAAAUUUUUGGACAACCCGGCUCUUUAAAACCCUGCAAAAAGCAAAAAAACAACGGUUAGCCACAAACAAUCAAAGAACAAAAAGCAACAACAAAGAAAAAGGGGAAAAAGGGUUGAGAUCUGAGAAGAGAAAGGGGUAAAGAGAGAAAAGGAAGGAACGGCCGGGGGAGAGAAGAAGGGAGAGAGCUUGACGCCGGCAACGGAAGGCGAAGCGAUUCGCCGGCUAGGAGAGAGAAAUCCGAGAGGAGAAGGGGGGACGCCGGCGCCGGCGAAGAGAGAAGAAAGGAGAGUUUUAGAGAGAAGGGAGAGGAAACGCUAGAGAGAGAAACUGAAAGGCUGAAAAUGAGAGGAAAAGACAAAAACGGGACUUAUAUACCCGAGUUUAGGGCUUAAAACGGCGUCGUUUCGGCAGAGGGAAGAAUCCAAAGGGUCGACCCCAAAACGACGUCGUUUGAGGGAGUCCCCAGAGCCCCAAAACGGUGCGUUUAGGAGAGGGCCAAGCGGACCAAGGAAGCGGGCCAGGCAGACCUCCACGCGGCCCAGACCACUUGGGCCAUCCUUCCAGCCCAACGAGGUAUAACCCAUUUUCCUGUUUUGUUUUGUUUGGGCUUCUUGGUGUUGGGUCUAGCCCAUUUUAAUAAAAAUACAUUUUUUUU